GAACAUUAUACAUCAUCUCAGAUAGGGAUUAGUAUUAAUAUCCAAAGUCAGAUUUAUUCUUUUAUCGCUGAGCAUUCCACUAUAGUGAUUCGUUUCUGAUAUGAAAUGUCCUUUAUUUUAAAAACAGAGAUGUCCAUCAAAAAUGGAUUGAAGGAGGGAACUAUGAACUAUGCAUCGAGGAUGUAAGGGAUGAAAUAUGGGAUAUGGUGAAGCCGUCUGACUCUUUGAGGAUAUCACUGGCUGAUUUGCUUUCAUGCAAACAAGGUGGCACUGUUGCAAGCAUGCUUAUAGAUGUGCGUGGUUUUUGGGCCCAUGACAACAGAGAAAAUCUUCUACAGGAAGAGGAAGAACCCCAAGAAGAAGGAUGAAUGAUUUAAAAGCCAAUCAUCUGUAAUUGCACUAACAUCAGAUCCUAGUUUGCAGAAUAGAUUAUCCUAUGUAUGUAGAGUAUUUGGCUUUUCUUAGUCGUGUGAAUGGGAUGUGGCUAACGAUGCUGUCAUUUAAGGUAGUCUUCUUGGAUGCUGAACAAACCUCCAGAAGUUGUAUGUUUGAAAUCUUGUGUAGCUGAGAGAUUCCUGAAAUCGAAUCAAAGGUGCAUGUUGCUUGGUUAACUGGGAUACCCUAACAAAUUUGAGCAUGUUUUACAAGUCUUGUAAUGAAAAAGCUAUGUCAGGUUUUCCUGCUCUUGUAUCAUCUCUACCUUUGGCCAAGUAAAUUAUCCUUUUCAUAAACUUGUUGAGUUUUAUCAGUAUAAUAAAACUGUUUUACUGUGAGAAACUGAAGUCGAAACCAAAGAAAAAUCUUUCAAGUGUGCAAGAGAUGAUGUUAUGCUAGCAGAACAGAAAAAAAGUAGUGGAUGUGACUUAGUGAUCAAUGAAGUGAGUUGACCAUCAUCAGGUCUUUGAUUCAAGGGAAAAGGGUUUGAUAUACCCUUCAAUUUUGUCAUUUAGAGCUGAUAUAUUCCUUGUUAUGAAAGUGGCUCAUAUAUACCUCUACUUAUAUACAAAUGACUCACAUAUACCCUUUUCCUCUAAUGGAAAUGAAAAAAAAGGAGCAUGGAAAGUACAAACGUCGAGUGGUGGAGGCUGCUGAUGCUUAAAAACCAAUGGUGCUUUCCGGUUGUCCCAAAGUACCGAGAGAUUCUACUCGCAAUUAAGAAGGUGCAAUACAAACAACAGUUUCGACAUCUUUAUUUAUUCAGAAAAAGGGUCUGAUAUAUUCCUCAAUUUUGUUAUUUAGAGCUGAUAUAUCCUUCGUUAUAAAAGUGGCUUAUGUAUACCCCUAUUGUUAUACAAAUGACUCACAUAUACCCUUUUCCUCUAAUGGAAAUGAAAAAAAAAAUUUAGUUUAAUUUUUUAUUAUUUUUUAAAAAUAAAAUAUAAUCCCAUAUGAGUAUAUUUAAUCCUCCUCAAACAUAUUCUUUUUGACUUUUUUUUUAUUUCAAUGACUAAUUUAGAUUUAUUAUUUUGAUGGUCAAAUUUAUUUAUGUUUCACUUGUAAAACUUAUUAUAGAUGACCAAAUUUUUUUCUUCAAAUACAAAAAAUUAAAUUACAAUAUAGACAAAAAAAAUAGUUUUAAAUUAUAAUAUAACCAUAAAAGAAUAAUUUUAAAUUUUUUUCUUUACACUAAGGAAUGAAAGAAAAAAAUAAAAUAAGAAUAAGAAACUCAAAUAAUUAUAAUCAAAGAAGUCAAAAAAUAAUUUAUGUAUGAAAAAGAUUAAAAUAUACCUUGAACUUUGCUAGAAGAAUCAUAUAUAUCCUUCAAUAAUUUUUAAGAAAAUUAAAAGUCAAAAAUAUAAAUUUAAAACUAACUUUUUCACUUCCGUUAAAUGAAGGGUAUAUGUGAGCUCAUUUUGUAACGGUAGGGGUAUAUGUGAGCCGUUUGUAUAACGGUAAGGGUAUAUAUGAGCCAUUUUAAUAACAAGGGGCAUAUCAGCUCCAAAUGACAAAAGUUGAGGGGUAUAUCAGACCCUUUUCCCUUGAUUCAAAUUUCAAUAGGGACGAAAAACUAGGUGAUUUUUCCCUAUUUGUUCUAGCCUUAGUGGACAUAGUUACGUAAAGGGUAUCUUGUGGAAUUAGUUGAGGUACAUGUAAGCUGGUUCGGACACCAAUCUCCGUUCAUCUCGUUCUCCUAUUUAAAAAUCUUGUGUUCAUAUCUUCAUUCUUCUCUAUUGAAUAAUUUUUUUUCCCCUAAGAAAUUUACUUACUGGCUUCACCAUCAUUGUUAUCAUAGCAGUACUUGGUGACCCCUUUUCAGUUUUCAUUUCUUGAAUGAAUUCUUCUAAAUAAAAUUCAUAGUAAAACAAAAGAAUUUAUUAAUCCACACUGAAUGGUAGUGAUGUAUAUAACUUUGUCCUGCAUAGCACAUGGUACACUCACUGCCUUUAAAGACAAAUUAUUUAGCAAUAUUGAGAUGAUUAAAAUGGAAUAUAAGGAGAUAUUUCCUCUCACUACUUUAAGAUUAACGUUUAGUUUGUUUAUAGAUAAAUAAGAGAGGUAUUAGAUACCCACAAAAAUUAAAAAGGAAAAAACAAAUCUAUUGUAAUGAAGAAGAGACGAAAUAGAAAAAAGAAAGAAAGAAAUAAAGAAGUAAACAACGACCCAUAACAAACACCAAAAUAGUACUCCCUCGUUCAAAUUUGUUUGUCGUAUCUUUCUUUUGAGUCUGUUUUUAAAAUAAAUCUCUUUUUUUUUUUGCAACUUUCUUAUUCCAACUUUUCACGUUACAUGUUUAAAACUAUGAAAUAAAAAGACAUUUUUGGUACAUUUUUAUGUAUUUGUUAGUUUAAAACAACAAAAUUCCUAGUGUUUUUAAUCUUUUUGUUACGAUAAAAUCAGAUAAACAAAUUGAAGCGGAAUAAGGGGAGUACUAUUUUCUUGAGAGUGAAAGAAGCUAAUGGGAAUUAGGACCACUAGAGUUGGUAACCAAUUGCAUUCGAUUGUACAUGGCACAACAUAAUUGUUUUUUUAUAAAGUACCUACGUUUACAUAUUGAACAAUGGAGAAUCCCUACUAGACACUGACAGCAUAUUGAAAGCAACUGCACCAACUACAGCAUAUUGAAAGCAACUGCACCAUGUGCAGAAGAGUUUGCUUCAUCCUUAAUCAGAUAGUUCGAAUUUGAGCCUUAAGAAUGAAGAAAAUCUUGUUAGGAGUGCCACCCUCGAAUAGGCUCUGCGGUGCACAAUCUGAAUUCAAUCGGGACUUCAAUACGGACUCUGAACACAGGGCCGACUUAACAAUAUUAGGGGCCUAAAGCGAAACUUAAGAGAUCAGCCCUAAUAUUUUGUUUUUCAUCAUAUGUAUUUUCAUUUAAAAUCUACUUUUCUAGCUAUUUUAGAUGUGAAGUCAUUAAGUACUAUUUUAUAAUCAAUUUGUUUUAAUAAUUUCUUUUUUAAUGAUAAUAUAGUUAAUUCAUUCAAUCUCUCUUGAGACAUUGUUGAUCUUAAAGAAGAUUCAAUCAAUUUUAAUUUCGAAAAAAACUUUCUCCGGCUGAGGCAACGGUUACAAGAACUGUUAACAUUAUUCUAUAAGCAAUAUGUGUAUUUGGAAAAGAAUCAAGUCUUUUUAUUUGAUUGAGUAUUUUCAUAAGAUCACUAUCUUCUACUUGUAUUAUUUUUCUUAACACUUUUAAUUCAAAAAAUAAAUCUAAAUCAUCAAUAUCAGAAUUACUAUUACGUGUUAAAGAAAGUUCAAGGUUAACACAAUAUUUUUUAAAAAUUCUCAUUAUCUAGUGAUCUAAAUAUUUUACCACUAAAUAAGAAAUCAAAAAUAUUUUCAUAUGCUUCAAGUGGUUCAAAUCUAUUUUGAAGUGAAAAAAUAGUUUGAUCUACUCUACAUAUAUAAAGUAAUCAAUUAUAAACGAUUCUUCAAGUGACUUUGUGAUUUUGUAAUCCAUAUUUUCAUUAAGUUGUUUCUUACGAAAUUCAGGUUUAUAUUUAUCUCAUAUGUAAUUUCCUUAGUAGAAAUCAUAGCACUCAUAGUACAUAUAAUUUUUUUUUAAAAAUAACAUAUAUAAGUAAUUGCUUUUUUAAAAUGGAGGCCCCCAAAAAUAUGGGGCCCCAAGCAAUGGCUUCAGUGGCCUAGGGAUUAAGACGAUCCUGAACACCGAAUGAGAAACCAAAAAAAUAAAUGAAAACAACAGCACCUCUCUUUCAGAUUAUUUUUAUAUAUAGCUGGCCUAUCCUCUUCACCAGAGACACACCUAACUGUUUCUCCUCUUUAUGACUCUCUACCUAGUUUCUUAGCCAGUGACACACACAACACAACUUACUUUUUGUAUUUGCAGCAGGUUGACCAGUUGAAUAGAUAGCUUAUAUAAUAUAUAAUCAAUCAUCUAUACUCUAUACACAUGCUAGAUACGGGACCCGUGUCAGCACGGACCCAAUAUAUGUUACUCUUUCUAUUUUAAUUUAUAUGAUACAUUUGAAAUUUGAAGUCAACCAAUUUUUAGUAUGUUUUUAAAUAUUUUAAGUUGUUGCUAAUUAUUACCAUUUAUAAUAUGUUUUACGCAUUUUUCAUAUGAUAUAUGUUACUUUUUUUGUCCCAAUUUAAGUGACGCAAAUGAAUUUGAGAGUCAACCAAUUUUUAAAAUACUUUUGUCCCAAUAUUGUGAUUUAUAGUACUUUUUUUAAUGUAUAUUUUAUAUAAUAUAUAUCACUUCAUUCGUCUUGAUUUAUGUGAUACAAAUAAAAUUUCAAAAGUUAGCCGGUUUUUAAUAAGUUCUUUUUGAUAUAUAACAUGUUAAUUAUUGUGAUUUAUAAUAUAUAUAUUUUUUUAAUGUAUUUUACAUAAUGUAUAUUUUUCCGUUUAUCCCAAUUUAUGUGGUAUAGAUGGAAUUUUGAGAGUUAACAAUUUUUUUUAUAUAUAUUUUAAAAUAUUUUAAGCCAUUAAUUAUUAUGACUUAUAAUAUUGUUAUCCCAAUUUAUGUGGUAGAGAGUUAACAUUAUAUAUAUAUAUAUAUAUAUAUAUAUAUAUAUAUAUAUAUGUUUUCAAAUAUUUUAAGCUAUUCAUUAUCAUGACUUAUAAUACUUUUAUCCCAAUUUAUGUGGCAUAAAUGGAAUUUUGAGAGUUAACAAUUUUUUAAUAUAUGUUUUCAAAUAUUUUAAACUAUUAAUUAUUAUGACUUAUAAUACUUUUAUCAUAAUUUUCUAUUUAUUUAUAAAGUAAUAAAACAUAAAAAUUUAAAAAAGAAAACAUAAUGAAACAUGGUAGCCUAAUCUAGAACCAGACUAUUAAGCAAAGAAGUAGAACAUAUCUUUAAGUAUUGUUGAUGAAAUAAUUUUAAAUUUUUAUAAAAUAAAUUAUGUGUAUAAUAAAUUAUCCCAUUAUGUGUAAAAUGAAUACACACAAAUAUAAUUAACAUUGAAUUUUUUAAGUGGAAUUGAUAUAUGUUUGUAUGACAGUAAAAUAAAUUGGUGCGGGUCUUCUAAAACUCUCGCUAUAAUAGAAAUGAUCUUUAACGGUACUUAAUUAACAAGAAUAACUUAAUUUUUGUCAAAUAUAUAUUUUUAGUGGCAAUUAAUAUUCUUUUUAAAUGUCAUUAAAGUCUACAAUGACAUUGAAUUUAAUGACAAUUAACUAAUAUCGAUAAAAACUUUAAAAUUUUUAAUAGGCGCUUCAUAAGAAUAAUUUAGAUAACUAAUGGAAAGUGCAUUGCUAAAUGUAACAUAAGUAUUAAUGGAGAAUGAUUAAAUGGAAGAAAUUGAUAAGAAGAGCACAUUCCCAAAUGACAAGGCCUUUUUUGGGAAUUUUUAAGGUCCUUAAAGUUGGAUGUAUUUACAAAAAUGUAUGAGAACAAAUCAUGAAAUAAACUGAAAAAUCAUGACUUAAACUUAUAUAUAUGUCUUCUAAUUUUGAGUGUGUACAAAUAAACAUGACUUAAAUUUAUAUAAAGUUGAACAAAAUAGACACAGGCAUCCUAAAUGGCAAUUCUCGUCCUAUGUGAUGUUUUACGUGUAUUAUGCAAUGUAAGACACGUGUAUUUACUUGUUCAACUUUAUAUAAAUUUAAGUGUCUAUUUGUGCACACCAAAAGUCAAAGCGUAUGAAUAUCAACUAAAAUCAAGUUAAAUAACAUGUUUAUAUAUUCUGCUAUUAGUAUAAAAAAUAAAGUAUUUGUACGUACGUACAUAAAGUAAUAUAAAAAAUUAUUGUCACUUAUUUUAAAACAAUUAUUGAUUGACUCGAUUAGAGACAAAUUGAGGAUUCUAAAUCGAUACCAUUUUCACGACUUAUAUAUUAUUCUUUUGUCAAUUCAGUGGAAACUACAUGUAAAUAAUGUACAUUUUCCAAUCAUUCAACUAUAUAUUAUAAGAAUUUAAGCUAAUGAAAGUGGGUGUGAUGCACUUGCUGCCGACAACUUACAUCCGACUGUGCGUUUGAUAUUUUGAAAUUGUAAAAAGGUUCAAUUUUAUUGUUCUCUAUACUACUUUUCUUAAUAAAAAAAAUAUUUUCGUGUUAUUUAAGUGGUUCAAAUAUAACUUCCUCGAUUACUGCCGUUCAAUAUAGUAUGUAUUCUUAUGAAAAUAUUUUUGUGUUACUUAAGCGGUUCAAAUAUAACCUCUUUUAUUACGACUGUCUAAAGUAAACAUCGCUUUCACAUAACACUGAUAUUUGAUGAUAGUAGGGGAGAAGGUACAAGUGUGGAAGAAGAAGUAAGGGAGAUUGGGCAUCCAUAAUGGACAACCCUAAUGAAAGAGGGUAUAGUUAAACGACUUAUGUAACAACGGAAGUAUUUUUUUGUAAGUAUAAAAUAUAGACAUAAUACAUACAUGUGCUCUUUAACUUGUUUUCAACUGACAUCUAUGUCCUUUAAUUUUAGGUGUGCAUAAGUGGACACUUAAACUUGUACAAAAUUGAAUAAAUAAACACAUUCGUCUUACGUGACAUCUUACACAAUAAUUUUGUGUCUCAUGUGAUGUCGUACAUAUUGGAAAAGGCAAGCACAAAAUAAAUGUGCACGACAGGGCAAUAGCGGAAGAAACCCAAGUCAAAACUUUCCCUUCUAUUUGAACCAAGAUAAGACAAAAUAAUGCAAGAAUAAACACUCUUUGGGCAGCAAGCAAAUCAACCAAGCAAGCAAAUUAAAUCAACACACGAGACACCAAAUUUAAUGUGAAAAUCUCUUCAGUGUGAAGAGUAAAACCACAAGGCCAAAGCUCCACUAUAAUCAACAAGAGUUACAAAAGUGUUCUCCAAAAUGGCCACCAACAAAGUGCCAAACAAUGAGCAACACACAACUACAAGAUAGCACCAAAAACUAGAGAAAUAAGAGAAGCAAAAACACCAAACCGCAGCUGCUGUGCACGAGCAAAAAUCUGGAGGUACAGGACUCCAAAUCACCCUCUCUCAGUUCCCAAUCAAAGAUUAUGUUGAAUGGAAUAAGCUGUCCAAAAAUCAGCUCAAUCGGAUAAGAAACGAAGCAGGAGUCGCGAUUUGAAAUUGGCUGCUAGGGUUUGUGCGAAAAUCUGAACUUUUUCACUUUUCUCUCUAUAUUGCUGCUCUCAAUCUCUUGUGAUUCUUUAAAUAAGACCUAAAAGAAAGUCUUACAUAUGCACCAUAAUAUUGGGCUUAUGGGAAAAAGUGAGCUAGUCAAGAAUGGGCUAAAUUUAUCCACAAAGGAAAGGAAGGAAGACCCAAAACCUUGCACUUUUAUUUAUCCACAUAGGAAGGGAAAAAGGCUCAAAACCCAAUAAUUCUCCCCCUACCGACUAUGUAGAGGAAACCGCCAUCCCUGCGAUCAUGCAACAUUCUUCAAACUUCCCUCUUGGAAAAGCUUUAGUCAUCAUGUCGGAACCAUUAUCAUUGGUAUGGAUCUUUUCAAGUUCAAGCAACUUAGAAUCCAACACAUCUCGAAUCCAAUGAUACCUCACAUCAAUGUGUUUAGACCGACCAUGAAAUGUAGAAUUAUUGCCAAGAUGAAUAGCACUUUGACUGUCGCAAUAAAGCGCAUACCUCUCUUGAGCACAACCAAGUUCCCCCAAAAAUCUUUUCAUCCAUAUCAAUUCUUUGCAUGCUUCAACAACUGCAAUAAGCUCAACCUCUGAAGUAGAUAAAACAACACAUUUUUGCAACCUAUAUUGCCAAGACACAGCUCCCCCUGCAAAAGUAAUCAAGUAGCAUGAAGUAGACUUACGAGUAUCAACAUCACCGGCCAUGUUUGAAUCAGUGUACGUAACCACAAAGAAUAGGCUUCCCCUGUACCAAAACAACAGACUCAAACUAGAAGUGCCACAAAGAUAUCAUAAUCCACUUUACAACAUUCCAAUGCUCUCUUCAUGGAUUAGAAAGAAAAUGGCUAACAAUACCAACAACAUGAGCAAUAUCUGGUCUUGUACACACCAUUGCAUACAUCAAACUACCAACAGCUGAAGCAUAAUGAACUUUCUUCAUAUCUUCCUUCUCACCAUCGCUGGAAGGACAAUGCUUAGUACUCAAUUUGAAGUGCAUAACUAAAGGUGUACUGACAAUCUUAGCUUUGUCCAUGUUAAAUCUACGAAAUACUUUCUGAAUGUACUUCUCUUGUGACAACCACAACUUCUUGGCAUCUCUAUCACGGACAAUCUGCAUGUCAAGAAUCUGCCUUGCUCAUCCCAAGUCUUUCAUAGCAAAAGACUUAUUCAACUCUUGCUUCAAUUUUUAAUCCUGUAAGUAUUAUGACCAACAACAAGCAUGCCAUCAACAUAAAGCAAAACGAUAAUAAAGUCACCAUAAGAGAAUUUUUGCACAAAAACACAAUGGUCUGAAGAAGUCUUCUUGAAGCCUUGCUGACUCAUAAAAGAACCAAACUUCCUGUACCAUUGUCUGGGAGCUUGUUUUAAACCAUACAAGCUCUUCUUCAAUUUGCAAACAUAAUUCUCUUUUUCCUUGACUUCAAAGCCGUUCGGCUGCUCCAUUUAAAUUUCUUCAUCCAAGUCACGAUGGAGAUAAACAGUUUUAACAUCCAUUUGUUCAACCUCCAAGUCCAGACUUACAGCCAAGCCUAGAACCACACAGAUGGAUGCCAUCUUCACAACUGGAGAGAAUAUCUCAUCAAAACCAAUCCCUUUUUUCUGGUUAAAACCCUUCACAACUAAUCUAGCCUUGUACUAUGGAACUGGGUUACCAUUUUCAUGUUUCACCCAAAACCCCCACAUGUUUUUCAAAGCUUUUCUGUCUUUAGGUAACAUAGCCAAAUCAAAGGUAUGAUUAUCAUGUAGAGACUUCAUUUCAUCCUCCAUAGCAUCAAACCGCGUUUCUUUUUCGGAAAACCCACCUGUUUUUCAAAGCUUUUCGAUCUUUAGGUAACAUAACCAAAUCAAACGUAUCAUUAUCGUAGAGACUUCAUUUCAUCCUUCAUAGCAUCAAACCACAUUUCUUUUUCUUCACUUUACAUGGCCUCAUCAAGACUCUCUGGUUCUCCCCCGUCACUCAAGAGUACAUAUUCAUUGGGAGAAUAACGAGAUGAAGGUAUUUUCUCUCUAGUAGAUCUUCUGAGAGAGCUUUCUGGAGCAUCAAUAAUAGUUGGUUGCUCACCAACUACAUCGUCUUGCACUGGAGCAGACAUACUGGUCAUUCUGAGUAUGAUCACCAUCUUCAAUAUCAACUUGAUUUUCAUCAUCUUGAAGAUUUUCACCUGGUGGAAUAGUCAAAAGCACUAGAUCAACAUCAACUAGACUCUCACUGUUCUGAGAAUCAACCUUCUCAGCUUUGUCAAGAUCUUCAAUUGUUUAGUCUUCAAAGAACACAACAUCACGACUUCUAACAAGUUUCUUCUCAACUGGAUCAAAGAAACGAUAGCCGAAUUCAUCUUGAUCAUAACCAACAAAGAUACAUUGCCUAGUUUUAACAUCCAACUUUGACCUCUCAUCCUUAGGAACAUGCACAAAGGGUUUACACCCAAAAACUUUAAGAUGAUCAUAAGAAACAUUCUUAUCAGACCAAACUCUGUCAGGAACAUCACCAUUCAAAGCAACAACAGAAGAUAAAUUGAUAACAUAUGCAGCAGUAUUAAGUGUUUCUGCCCAAAAGGAAUCUAGAAGUUUAGCAUCUGAAAGCAUACAUCUAACCCUCUCAACAAGAGUUUUGUUCAUCCUCUCCGCUAAAUCGUUUAGCUGAGGAGUCUUUGAAGGAGUUUUCUGAUGCCGAAUACCCUGCUCUCUGCAAUAUCUAUCAAAAUGACCAAUAUACUCACCACUAUUAUCAGAACGGAUGCAUUUCAAUUUCUUUACUGUCUGUCUCUCAACCAAGGCCUGAAAAUUCUUGAACACAUCAAGUACCUGAUCCUUGGACUUCAAAGAGAAUACCCAGAGUUUGCGCGAAUGAUCAUCAAUAAUCACAAAAUAAAAUGCACCACCAUGAGACUUUACCUUAAAAGGACCACAUAAAUCAGAAUGUAUCAACUCCAGCAAAUCAAGCUUUCUUGAAGGCGGAUGACUUUGAAAAGAAGCCAUUUUCUGUUUACCGGCUAAGCAAUGAGCACACUUGUUCAACUUUGCUUGUUUCACUCCAGAAAGCAAACUCUUCUUAGCCAAAUUGUCCAUCCCCUUUUCGCUCAUAUGACUCAGUUUUCUAUGCCAUAACAAUGAUGAAGUAUCAUUCUACACCAUAUUUACUGAGCCUCUGAGAAUGGAGCCCUAAAAAACAUACAAGUGAGACAACUUGUCACCACGAGCUAUCAUCAUUGAACCUCUUGUAAGCUUCCACUGGCCAGCACCAAGGGUAUUGACAUAACCCUCAUCAUCAAGGUAUCUAACAUAAAUUAAAUUCAAGCAAACAUUUGGAGCAUGCUUGACAAUAUUGAGAACUAGUUUGGAACCAUUAUUACUUUCCAAACAAACAGUCCCAAUACCAAGAACCACAACUUCAUGAUUAUUGCCCAUUUUCAACAUCCCAAAAUUACCUGAAGUAUAAGAAGAAAAUAAUUCCUUUCUGGGCGUGACAUGAGAAGUAGUACCAGAAUCCACAAACCAGCUAGACUCAUCGCAAACAAGAUUGACGACAGUUUCAUCACAAGAAACAAGAAGGUCAUCGUUAGCAACAACAACAACACGAUUUUCAAUAUCGCCUUCUUUAUUUUGUUGUUUCAUAUUACUCUUGUAUCUGAAACAAUAUUUCUUAAUAUGCCCAUUCUUGUGGCAAUAGUCACAUGUAACAUUCUUGAAUCUAGACUUUGACUUUUCUCUACUUUUAUCUCUGUCAUUUUGACCUCUGAACUUGCUUCUCCCCCUAUCUUCAGUAACCAAAACAUCGGAGUGUGAAGUAGAAGAAGAUGAGCCUUGAGAUCUUCUCAUAUCUUCAUUCAAGACACCACUCUUAGCGUAUUGUAUGGUCACAACACCACUGGAAGCAGAAUUAGUCAAAGAAACUCGAAGAGUUUCAAAAGAGGUCUGACAGAGUAUUAAGAAGUCAUAGUCCCUGUAUUUCUUCAUCGAAUUUUACACCCAUUUCGGACAGCUAGUCAAGAACACCCUGAAAAUCAUUAAUACGAUCAGAAAUAGGAGUGCCCUCUUUAUACCUGAUGUUCAUCAAUUGUUUCAAUAGAAACAAUUUAUUGUUGCCAGUCUUCGUAGCAUAAAGUGUGAUAAGCUUCUCGCAUGCGUCUCAUUAACAAUGUGAUUUCUCACAUUAUCUUCAACCCAUUGUAUGAUAUCGCCACAAACCUUUAAAUGCUCAAAUUCCCAAUCCUCAUCGUUCAUAGAUUCGGGUUUAUUAGAAGCAAACACAGAUAGAUGCAUUUUCUUGACAAAUAGAAGAUCUUUCAUCUUGUCUUUCCAAGUAUGAUAAUUACUACCAUUCAAACAAACUGAUGUGAGGCCAAAAUACAUAUUUUUAAUCAUUAUUUGCCUCACAUUUAUUAUUUAUAUUUGUCCCUUUUGAGCAUAGAUUUUAUAUUUAUUUUUUAAAAUUUGUUUUUACCCUCCCCUAGAAGCUCCCACCUCUUUUUCUCCCUUGGUGACUUGAACUCACAACCUUUGGGUUGGAAGUGAGGGGUGCUUACCAUCCGAGCAACUCCCUCUCGUCGAACAUAGAUUUUAUGAAUUGUGCUUAAUAGUAUAUUUUAUUUGUAGAAUUAAAUUGAUGGAAAAAUAAAGAAAUUUGGAGCUAAAAUGAAUUAAAGAUGGAAUAUUGAAGAAGAAAAUCAAGCAGACAACCUAAUAGAUUAACUUUAAUAUAAUAAUAAUAUUUUAUAUAUAUGGCAAAGAACAAAAUGCGAAUUUUGAAGGAAAUAAAUAUGUGCCACGUGGCAAAUAUCCAAGGGAAGACCACGAAGAGUUGGAGUCGGCUACAGUUUCACGCGGAAUCCUUUUAGGUUUUGAGUUCCUAAUUUGUUUUGGACUCAAUUAUUUUAUUCAGAAUUUGCUUCAUUUAUAAAUAAUCCAUAAAAAUAGUUAUUGAGAGAGGGGGAUGAAUGUAGAAAAUAACUUUUGAUUUAGAAUUUUAUUUUUUCUUUCUCUUUUACUUAUUUUAUAUCUUUUCUUUGAAUGAUGAUUUGUAAUUGCUCUAUGUCUAUGUAGAGUUAAACUUCUCGUUCUUGGAUUAUAUUUUACUUACAAUAUAAUUGUUUAGUGAUUUUAAUUCGGCAUGAUUUGUUUAUCAUAUUAGUUGUUCUUAUAUUUUUGUGAUUACUAUUUUGAUGCUUGAUCACCAUUGAAAUAAACAUAUUGUCCGAAUUAAAUUCGGGAGAGGAAUAAGAGGAUAGAACGUGAAAUAUAAGGAGCAUGAUUUUCUCUUAAUAAUUAGGGUUAAUUUGUAUCUAGGAUAGGGAUAUACCUAGAAACCAUGCUUGGUCAUUAUACAGGAAGAAAUCGUAAUGUUCGGUACUUAAUCCAGCCUAUCUCCGCUCAACGAUGUAGUUAGGUUAUUAUUUAUCGUAGGCGAUUAGAGGUUGAGAGACCAUGAUCAUACAUUUAACCCUGUGAAUCAAUAACUAGAUAAUCAAAUAAGUUGAUGAAAUUGAUGCUAAACAUGAUUGUUAGUUAAAUUAUAAUCCUAGAUCGAUUCAUUCAUUGAUUGUGUAAACAUCUAUCUUUUCUUAGUUAAUUGUUUUUUAGUUAUUUUAUCUUUAUUUUUAGUUUAGUUAAUAUAUUCAUCUUUUGAAAUCCUCCCCUUAAAUAAAUAAUUAGAAUUAAUAUAAUUUAGUAAGAAUAAUUAAUUGACAAGUCCUUUGGGUUCCGAUAAUCCGGUUCUUUUAAGAGCCACUAUAUUACUUGUGCGACCGUGUAUACUUGCGUGUGCAAUUGGAAGCAACACAAACCAUCUUGCUCAUAUUUGACUUCAUCAUUCAAAUAGAUAAUCAAUAACAACCAAAUGCUCUAAUACCACUUUGUUGGGAAAGGCAAGCACAAAAUAAAUGUGCACGACAGGGCAAUAGUUGAAGAAAACCCAAGUCAAAACUUUCCCUUCUAUUUGAACCAAGAGAAGACAAAAUAAUGCAAGAAUAAACAUUGUUUGGGCAGCAAACAAAUCAACCAAGCAAGCAAAUUAAAUCAACACAUGAGACACCAAAUUUAACGUGAAAAACCUCUUCGGUGUGAAGAGUAAAAACCACAAAGCCAAAGCUCCACUAUAAUCAACAAGAGUUACAAAAGUGUUCUCCAAAAUGGCUACUAACAAAGUGUCAAACAAUGAGCAACACAACCACAAGAUAGCACAAAAAACUAGAGAAAUAAGAGAAGCAAAAACGUCAAACCACAGCUGAUGUUCACGAGAAAAAAUCUAGAGCUACAGGACUCCAAAUCACCCUCUCUCAGUUCCCAAUGAAAGAUUAAGUUGAAAGAAACAAGCUGUCCAAAAAUCAGCUCAAUCGGAUAAUAAACGGAGCGGGAAUCACGAUUUGAAAUUAGCUGCUAGGGCUUGUGUGAAAAUCUGCACUUUCUCACUUUUCUCUCUAUAUGGCUGCUCUCAAUCUCUUGUGAUUCUUUAAAUAAGACCUAAAAUAAAGUCUUACAUAUGCACCAUAAUGUUAGGCUUAUGGGCAAAAAUGGGCUAGUCAAGAAUGGGCUAAAUUUAUCCACAAAGAAAAGGAAGGAAGACCCAAAAUCUUGGACUUUUAUUUAUUCACAUAUGAAGAAAAAAAAGCUCAAAACCCAACAGUACAUACAUGUAUUGUGCCACGUAGGAUACGUGUGUCUACUUCAAUUUUACAAUAUUAAUAUAUUACCAUACUAAUUGAUAUGGAGCUCAAAUAUCAUAUCUUGCGAUGGACCAUAACUCGAAUUCUCCAGAAACAUGAUGCUCUUCGUUUACACCAAUCACUUCUUUGGUGUAAGAUGUAUUGUAGCUCCCAAAAAAAGGACAAAAGACUCAUUACAAAAUAACAAAACUUAUAAAGGAGACAGAGAAAGACAAAGAGAGGAUGUACACAGGGAAUAUCUUACAUCUCAAGAAUCUUCCAUUCAAAUAGCAAUAACUCAUAAAAUAAAUAUAUGACUUCUCCAAUAAUUUGAUGCGACAAGACAAUAAUAUAACUUUACAUAAUGCUUAUAAAAUAGAAAUAGUAAUAACUAACAUGAAAUUAAAAGAACUAUACAAGUGCUACACAAAAAGAGAAAUUAAGAGGAAUAUAGUUCUUACUUUAGGUUUUAGCAUUUUGUGUAAUGUGAAGUUCUGACUUGAAGUUACUGUGAAGUGUGAAUUGAAGGCUAAAGGGUAAAUGCAUUAACCGGUAAGGUAUUGAGAUUAAUAUUUAAUAUUUAUGUAGAAGUAUAAUAGUAAAUUAUUAUAGUCUUAAUGAGUAAUUAGGUUUAAAAUUAAAUGAUACUAUAAUAGAUACCCAAUCAAACAAUACAACAAAACAUAUGAAAACACUCAUAUUAAAUGUUUAAGAUCAAACAAUACGACAACAAAGUUUUACAUUAUUGACUUCUUGGUGAAGAAUUAAAAUGCUUCUUCACGAACAUAUUUGCGAAAGAAAUAUUUUAAUAAUAGUAUAUUUUAAGGUGUAUUUUAAAAGUAAAAAAAAGAAUCGAAAAUUAACCGAAUCUUACCGAUACCGAAGAAAAACCGAUAUGACUAAAUGGUUUUAAAAAAUCUAAUUUUGGUUAUACAUUAUAAAAUACCCGAAAAAAUGAGAUAGGAUAAUUUUUUUAAAAAUAACCAACCAAACCAUCCCAUUAACAUCCCUAUUUAACACAAUAUGGCAGAUAAUUUUAUGUUUUCUCAUAUUUCAUCCACUUCAAAUUUCCUUGGUGAAUUGAAAAAUUCGGUUCUUUCCCAACUUAACAGUUCUACAAAAGAAGUUAUUAUUUCAUAAUUUAGUGGUACAAGUAUCGUGUUAAUUAGCCUCUUGGUAGAUAUGACUUUCAGUUUUCUUCUAUCGUAGUUUUCAGAUUGUUAUAUUUUACUUUUAUCAUAUUCCUUCAUGUUAUUAUUAAUUUGCUACAAAUAGUUGUCCUAUAUUAUUAUGCUCAUAUAUAAAGUAGUUUGUUUUUCUUUAAUCUUAUUUGUUUGGAGUGUUUGUGUAUCAUUAUAAUUUUUGAUAUCAAUGACAAAAUUUUACAGUACACUUUUUAUCUUAAAAAUAUUAUUUUAUUUUUAAAAAUUUUACACUUAAUAAUAUAACAUAUACACAAUAAUUUAUUUUUAAAUAUACAUUUAUUAUUAAUUAAUACAAUACGCAUAUACAAAAUACAAAUAAAGUUAAUUAUAACAAGUAAAUUAUAAAAUUUUACCAAUAAUAUCAAAAUUAGUACUACAUAUAUUAUUUUCUUUGAUACAAUCUGUCAAACAAUAUCUCAUAAUGAUAUAUUUUUGUACCUGUGGAGGACUUUUUUUCCUUUAAAAUUGAGAGUCUCAAUGACCAGCGGACCCCGACCACUAUAUUACUACUCUGUCCCCUACCAUUAUAUGAGCACCCAAAAAGUGGACGAUAAGGACUUAACAUCAAUGUGCAUUCUAUUAAAUACUAAAGGAUCGUUUGGAGUAUUAUUUAUAUAUUAAAAAAAAUCAAUAUAAUAAUUAAUAUAAUUAUGUUUAGUAAUAAUUGAGAAAUUUUUGCUUCAAAAUAACUUAAUUAGCCUCCAUAACUAUAGUUUGUUAGUUACAAUUCAUAGCUACAUGUUAGAGGGAGAAGAUAGACGAACGAGAUUAAGAGAGGGAGGAGAGAGGCGAGUGAGAGAGGGCAGAGAGUGGAGAGAGGUAUAUUGUAUUCAUAUAUCGGUUAGAUGAUUGUAUAUAUGUAACUAGUAUAUAUGUAUAUGUAUCAAUAAUUGUAUUUGUAUAUCUGCAUACAAUUUGUAUCAUAUAGUAUACAAUUGAAUCGAGUUCAAACAUUUGUAUAUCCAGUCUCUCUCGCUUUAUACAAACAUAAAUUAUCCAUUUGUAUUUGUAAAAUUUGUGUUUGUAUAAAGAGAGAGAGACGUGCAGAAGAUAAUUGGGCAGGGAUAGAUUUGUAUUUGUAUAAUUAUGAGUGUUUAAGGCGAAGAGAUAUAUAUGCAUUGUAUUUGUAUAUCCAGUCUCUCCUCGCUUUAUACAAACACAAACACAAACACAAAUACAAAUUAUACAUUUGUAUUUGUAUAAUUUGUGUUUGUAUAAAGUGAGAGAGAGACUGACAGAAUAGAAUCGAGAGAGAGGCGAAGGAUAGAUGACUGAAAAAGAGCAGAGAAGCGAGCGAGAUUUCAGAGAGAGGCGAGAGAGAGAAAUGUAAUUAUAGCUAGAAGUAAGUUCCGACUUGUAAUUAAUGCAAACUGUAGUUAUGUUAGUUAACUAACUAAUAUAUGUUUGCUUAACCACGUAAUUUCUCCAUAAUUUAAUUGCUAUAUAUAAAUUUUAGUGUACUAUAUGUUGCUUAAUUGGUUAUCUAUCUAUAAUUCCACAUAACUAAUACUGAAGAAAUUUAUGUAUUAAUUAUUUUAUAUAGGAUAAAAGAUGGAAUAAUUAAACAUUGCAUAACUUAUACUUUCAUUACUAAUACGUGCACGACUAUAAUCCUUACAUUACCAAAUACCUACAUGGCUCUAACCAACAUUCAAGUGACCCCUAAUAGUUACAUGGAACACUAAAAUUAUCCAUGUUUUAAAAUUUGCAUAAACUUUAAUUAUAUAUUGUUUGGUUGCGAAAAUUGGGAAAAAAUUAAUCUCUAUAUAGAAUCUAGCAUAAGUUAUACAAUGUUCUAUUAUUUUUUUCUUUUUUUCCACUUAAAACAUAACAUUGUGUUUGAUUUAUGUUUUUCUUUUCUACAUAACUAAUAUAUAUAUAAGUUAUGAAAGAAUCACGAUCUAUGUAUAUUAUUUUAUACAUGAUAGAAGAUGAAAUAACUAAUACAUAGCAUAACCAAUAUUUUCAUUACUAAUAUUUACAUAACUAAUCUCUUCAUUAUUAAUACCUGCAUAACUAUAAUCACCGACCAAAUUGACCUCUAAAUAUUGAGGUGUAACCAGGGCCGACUUAACAAGAUUGGGGGGCUUGAAGCGAAAUUUAAGGGAGGGCCCCUAAUAUUUUACUUUUUCAUCAUAUAUACUUUUAUUUAAAAUCUAUUUUUCUAGCCUUUUUAAAUGCGAAAUCAUUAGUUAUUGUUUUAUAAUCAAUUUGUUUUAAUAAUUCCUUUUCACUUGAUAAUAUAGCUAAUCCAUUCAAUCUCUCUUGAUACAUCGUUGAUCUUAAAUAAGAUUUAAUCAAUUUUAGUUUUGAAAAACUUCUUUCGGCUGAGGCAACGGUUAGAGAAACUGUUAACAUUAUUCUAUAAGCAAUAGGUGUAUUUGAAAAAGAAUCAAGUCUUUUAUUUGAUUGUAUAUUUUCGUUAGAUCAUUAUCUUCUACAUGUAUUAUUUCUCUUAACACCUUCAAUUCAAAAAAUAAAUCUAAACUAUCAAUAAUAGAAUAACUAUUAUGUGUUAAAGUUCAAGGUUAAGACAAUGUUUUUAAAAUUCUCAUCAUCUAGUGAUAUCAAUUUACCACUAAAUAAGAAACAAAAAAAUAUUUUCAUAUGAUUCAAUUGGUUCAAAUCUAUUUUGAACUGAAAAAAAUAGAUUCAAUAUUUUGUGAUUUCGUAUCAAAAAUAUAAAGUAAUCAACUUUAGAUUCAAGGGACUUUGUGAUUUCGUUAUUAAUAAUUUCAUCAAAUUAUUUCUUACGAAAUUCGGGUUCUAUAUUCAUUUCAUAUGCAAUUUCCUUAGUAGAAAUCAUAGCACACACAGUACAUAUAAUUUUUUUUUAAAAAAUAACAUUCAUAAGUAAUUUUUUUUAAAAAUAAUGGGGCCCUCCAAAAAAUGAGACUCCAAACGAUUGCUUUAGUGACCUAGGGGUUAAGACGGCCCUGGGUGUAACAAGUAAGUCCAGCAACAUUUGUGUGUAUGGAUUUUGGUGUAGGGAAUGUCUUAUUUGCUCAGCUGUCAUGAUCUGUAAUGAGGUGAUGUCUCAUUCUACCAACAAAAAAAUAAUAAGAGAGACUCUUCUUCUUUCCAGGUCAUACAAAGAAAAAGAAACCAAAAAGGCUCAUAGUGUGGAACUGUGGAUACAAGGAAAACACUUAAAUUUGAUAUAUGGAUUUUCUCACCUUUUCUUUUGAUUCCUUUCAAUUAUUAUGUCUCUCCAGUAAAAGUUACUACUCUUUCUUUUUCACUGUUCCUAACCUAGUAAAGACAAAAACUUUUUUACUAUCACUUACAUCUCCUCUUUUGAUCCUAAGUCUUUCGAAAACAAUCUCUGCCUAUAAAGGCAGGAGGGAUAAGGUUUAUGUAUAGUGGUAAUGACAAAAUUUCGUUAAAAGUGUUAAUGAUUUAAUAUAUAUAUAUAUAUAUAUAUAUAUAUAUAUAUGAAAAAUAAUUUUUGACCUAUAUACUCUCUUCGUCCACUUUUAAUUGUCGUGGUUUUCUUUUUUAGAGUUAAACGAUAAGUACUUUGUCUAACAUUUUACUAUGUAUUUUUUCCUUAUCAUAUUGAUAUGAAUGCAAUUUAUAGUACUUUUCGUAUAAUUUUUGAAUAUCUAAAUUUUUUGUUUAAAAUAUCGAAUUAAUGUAAUCUAAUUUAACUUUAAAAAUUAGUCAAAAUUGACUUUCGAAAAGCGUAACAUGACAAUUAAAAAAAUGGACGGAGGGAGUACUUCAUAUAAUUUUUCGACGAAGGGUGGUCAAGUGUCCGACUAGCUACCCUAAGCUAUAUGUGGCUACCCCACAGUAUAUCCUAGCCUUCCUAAAUACUACUUGUGAGAUUACAUUGAAUAUAUUGUUUGUUAUUGUAGUUAUAACUACUCAUUACACUGGAUAUAUAUUGUUGUUGUAGUUACAAUUACUCAUUACACCGAAUAUGUUAUUUGUUAUAGUUCUAGCUACUCAUUACACUGAAUAUAUUGUUGUUGUCGGAGUUAAAAAGCUACUGAGAUUGGAUGACAACCUCUCUCCAUUAUGAAAGGUACCCCAAGACUUUACAAAAACACAUUUUAUUAGUUAUUUCAUGUGAAAAUUUGAGGUUUGUAACAUCCCCCUUAUAUCAAGAUUUUAUCUUAUUAAGAUAAUUUUAUUCUUUGUGUGUGGAAAUUGUUAAGACAUACACCUUUAAUGCCAACUAUCUUUCUACACAGAGGAAUCAAAAAGUACUUGUACAACUGAUAAGGUAUGUAAUCUUAACUGAAUUGGUGUAAAGAGAGACAGGAUCUGAAGAAAGCUACUCAUAUUAAUUCCUUUUUCUUUAGUUUUACUGAGCAGGCAAAAGAGGGGCUCUUAAACUAUGGUAGAGCUACUUUCUUGAAUGACAUAUGUUUGUGUGAAUGCAUGGACAAGAAAGUGGGGUACUAUGAAACUUUAGCCCAAUGAGUUGUCUUAUGGAAGGAAAUUGGCUGCAUUGCUUCCUUACCAUUUCUCAAAUGGAUUCUUGAAAAUCAACAUUUCUCAGUAAUUAUUUUUUUGAAGUAGUACAUAAUAAAAGUGUACAAUCAAGAGGACCACCAUUUCUUGAUCUGAACUUUAGUACUGAUGGAGUGAGUUCAUCAAGUUGCUACCUUUAUUCAUUCAUGAAGAAGGACAUGAGACUUUUUCAACAGUAAUUUGAACCACAAACUGUCAAUGUUCAAAUUGGAUGAUUUUCUUGAAUGGCAAGUUCAUUUGCAGCUAUAGCAGGAGGAAUUGGAGGGGUUGUAGUAGUGUUCUUGGGAGUGAUUUUCUUUGUAUGUUUUCGGAGUUUUCGCGGAAGGAAGUAUUCAAAUAGGAAUUCAGACUCAGCUUCUUCAGAUCCAUCUGCAGUAGGUAAUGUAGCAAUCAUCACUAUCUAGGUAUGGAAAUUUACGCGAUGCUAACUCUAAGUGUUUCAGUGGAGCUGAAAAGGGGAGGAUCUUUUGGUCCAUCAAGGCUGUUCAGAAUGGAAGAAUUGGAGAAAUCUACAAAGCAUUUUGAUGAGAACAGUCUCAUUGGCUGUGGGAGUUUUGGUCUGGUUUUCAAAGGAUUGCUUUGUGAUGGAACUGUUGUUGCUAUAAAAAGGCGUUUAGGGACUCCAAAACAGGAAUUUACUGAAGAGGUAUGUUUAGCUAUUUAAAGGGGGGUUGAUUGUUUAAUUGAAUUACAAGAAAAGGGCAAGACAACAAGGAGUGGAUUAGUCCUACUCAUGUUUUCACUUCAUUCAUUCCCUUCUUAAGGAAUCGAUACAAUUUUUCCUACUUCAUAUUCCUGUUUUAGAAGUGGAAACCAUCUAAUUCAAUUUUAUGUCUGAUCACUACACAUAUGAUUCUAAAGCUAGCUAUUCUCUAACUUUGCAUUUCGAAUAAUAGGUUGCUCGUUUAUCAAGGAUUCAGCACCGCAAUUUGGUCAGUCUUUUAGGCUACUGUCAAGACAGUGGAUACUCCAUGCUGGUUUUCGAGUAUUUGCCUAAUGGAAGCAUGCACAAUCACUUGUAUGGUAGGGCUCUAUUGAGUAGACAUUACCCGCGAUUAUAUGCCAAAGCUGAAUAUUGGUUCUUUUGUCAGACACAGGAAAGGAAUUUGCAACAAAGCUAGAAUUCAAGCAAAGGUUAUCUAUUGCUAUUGGAGCAGCUAAAGGUAUAUCAUAAAGACUCGUUCGAGUUUAAGUGUCCUGAUUUAUCCAAGAAUGACACUAAAUUUGAUCUUAAAUGUAACAGGUUUAAGUCAUUUACAUAGCCAACACCCUUCAAUAAUCCAUGGGAACUUUAAAACAGCUAAUGUUCUGGUUGAUGAGGACUUCAUUGCCAAAGUUGCAGACGCGGGGAUUCUAAAGCUACUCGAGAAAAUUGAUGAUGCAGGUCCUUCUGGCUUGAGUUCUUUCAAUGCUUUUAAAGAUCCAGAGUAAAUAGCACUUUACCUCAUUUGAAGUUGUAGAAACUUGACUUUGAAUUACUUUUUGAUUCGUUUUCUGUUCCGUGUUCAGGAUAAGCCAAAUUGGAAUUCACUGUGAGACAAGUGAUGUUUACAGUUUUGGAGUAUUCCUGUUAGAGCUUGUAACUGGUAGGGAUGCUUCACAUAUAGAUGAAUUUGGAUCAAACCAAAGUGUACUUGAUUGGGUAAGUUAAAAGAACCAAAAUUCAAUAUCUCCAUCUGCAUCAUUCAUCAUGUUUAUUACUGAAUAUGUUUAUGUAAACUUGGCAAAAAGGUUGAAAAACAGCUGAGUUCAGAGCAGUUAGUGGAUCAUAGGCUGCUGGGAAGCUUCACUGCUGAGGUGAUGAGGGAUUUCGUCAAGAUAGCGUUGAGAUGCAUGAGUUUCCCUGGUAGAUAUAGACCAACCAUGGAAACGGUCGUGUUGGAUCUUGAAAAGAUUCUUGAGAGGGAGAUGAUGCACACAACUGUUAUGGGAGAAGGUACUUCCACUGUUACUCUAGGGAGUCAAUUAUUUACAAACUGAAGCAACGACGGAGUCAUCAAUUACACCUAGUCUGUUUUCAUGAAUGAAUUCGGCCUUUGGGCUACAAGUAAAUGUACAUCAGCUUAAAUAGUUUUUCCCUCCCCAACUUCUUCUGCUUCAUCUAACAAAGCUAGAUGAGCGGAGGGCCGGGGCCUGAAUUAUUAAUCGCAACAUUUUUUCGUUUAAAGUCCAAUACCCCUAAUAGGUGUUUAAGGACAUUAUUGUUUGAUUCAUGAAUAUUAUUCAUCAUGUUUGAUAGAGUUGAUGUGAUAUGGUGAAAGAAAUGAUCCAUUUUAGAUUGUGGUUGUGGCCUUGAUGAUUAUAUUUUAACUAGAAAAAGACUCAUGUUCAAUAAAGUUAAAUGAAGUUCAUGAUAUUAGUACUCUUGAAAUUCCAGUAGUUUAUUCUCAUUGGAUUUAAUCUCAAGAUGAAUAUCGAUAUCCCGGUGCAGAUCAUGAAUUAGAAGAUCUAACAGCACAUUCAGAGCAUGAACAUGAUCACAUUUGAAAGUAUGGACUCUGAAAUAGAGUCCAGUAAGAUACCUCCAAGGACUUAGAAGGCGAAAAUCGUUCAAUAAGAUAAAUGGUCAUAAGAGAUUUCUCAACCUUCAGUAUCCAACAUGUUUCUGUCAUUGAUGUAGUCGUACUGGAUAUCGUAAAACUGCUAUCCUGCAAUGUAGUUAACCAUUCAAUCAACUUAGCCUAAUACCCUUGCCAAAACGAGCACGUAAAGUAGAAAAAAAGGCGUAAAUCAUGCUAUAACCAUAAGGAUAACUCGUUAAUUACCAUAGUUAAGCUAAUUCAUAGUUUUGAUGAGUUUAAGUUAUAUAGACUAAAAGUAUUCGUAAUAAAAAGUCAAAAUUUUCACUUAAAUAGUAUGCAAGUAACUUUUUGCAACACUUUCUUGGUAAAUUUGAGGCUCCUUAUCCCACAGGCACAUACAUACAUAACCCGAGAAUCAUACCAACUAUUACCUACCUCGAAUCAAGCCUCUGAUAUGUAGAAACAACAAAAUAGUAAACAAAUUAAGAACAAAGACAGACAGAAUCCUCUGGAAAGAAAGAACUUUUUAUCUUCUUCAACAUCGUCCAGAGCUUCGAUGGCCUUGUCGGUGGUCAGAGAAAUCGAAGAAUGGUCGUGUAAUAUACACUUGAAUGUUUAAGUUUUAACCUCUCACAAACGCCAUGAAUUCGACACCAAUGAAGACUUGUUCAGCUUCAACCUGCUCCGACUAACACCAGCUCAAAUGUUGGCCAAAAUCCUAUUAAAAACUAUUCAAUACACAAAAUAUAUUUGAAACAAGACCUAAACAUUAUAUGAUAUUAUUGAAGAACUAUUGUAUACGAACAGAAAGAGUAGAUUGCAUGAAUAUCUAAAAUAUUAUGAUAAAAAAUGGUUCUCGAUGUUGUAAAGCAAAUAUGGAUGCCAUGUGGCCCCCAACAAUUUGAGGACUUACAUCACUUGUAAUAGUGUAAAGCCAAGGCUCAUGCCUUGUGGGACUAACCCAUUGGAGGGCCACCAUCACUUGACCAAUUAAAAUGGCCAAGUUAUACAUUUGCAAGUCAUCUUUUGGCUAUAAAUAGCCAUUACAUUUACAAAGGAAUAUAUACGUAUUGAAAUACAUUACUCUCUCAAUUGUCCUUCUUUCAGUAUAUUAAUUUUAGUUAGUUAUUUUAUAACACGUUAUCAGCACGAGUCUCUGCCAGUUCAAGUAAAGACUUUAAAAGCCUCGAAGGUAUAAAUUUUUCUUUCUUAAAUAAUGUCAAAUCUUUCUAAACUUGAAUUUCUUGCUUUAGACAUAUCGGGAAAAGGCUAUNNNNNNNNNNNNNNNNNNNNNNNNNNNNNNNNNNNNNNNNNNNNNNNNNNNNNNNNNNNNNNNNNNNNNNNNNNNNNNNNNNNNNNNNNNNNNNNNNNNNNNNNNNNNNNNNNNNNNNNNNNNNNNNNNNNNNNNNNNNNNNNNNNNNNNNNNNNNNNNNNNNNNNNNNNNNNNNNNNNNNNNNNNNNNNNNNNNNNNNNNNNNNNNNNNNNNNNNNNNNNNNNNNNNNNNNNNNNNNNNNNNNNNNNNNNAUCCAUCAAUCUGCCUAUACUGAGAAAAUCUUGAAACGAUUUUACAUGGACAAAGCACAUCCAUUAAGUACUCCAAUGGUUGUCCGAUCACUUGAGGUGAGUAAAGAUCCAUUCCGACCUCAAGAAGAGAAUGAGGAACCUCUUGGUCCUGAAGUACCUUAUCUUAGUGCAAUUGGCGCACUUAUGUAUCUUGCUAAUGCUACAAGACCUGACAUAACAUUUUUUGUUAAUUUAUUAGCAAGAUAUAGUUCUUCCCCUACAUGAAGACAUUGGAAUGGAGUUAAACAUAUAUUGCGAUAUCUAAAGGGGACGAGUAAUAUGGGUUUAUUUUAUACUAACAAAGAUAGUGCAGAACUUGUUGGUCAUGCAGGUUAUUUAUCUGACCCAGAUAAAGCUCGAUCUCAAACAGGCUAUCUGUUCACAUACGGAGGUACUGCUAUAUCAUGGCGAUCUACGAAGCAGUCCAUUGUCGCUACUUCUUCAAAUCAUGCUGAGAUAAUAGCCAUUCAUGAAGCAAGUAGAGAAUGUGUAUGGUUGAGAUCAGUGAUACAUUUCAUCAAAGAAAGAUGUGGUUUGAAGUAUGAUGUCAAGGUACCCACAGUGCUCUUUGAAGACAAUGCUGCAUGCAUAGCUCAAUUAAGAGAAGGCUUCAUAAAAGGAGAUAGAACGAAACACAUUUCACCAAAAUUAUUCUUUCACACAUGAUCUCCAGAAGAAUGGUGAUAUUGAUGUACAACAAAUCCGUUCAAGUGAUAAUCCAGCAGAUUUAUUCACCAAAUCUUUACCAGCCUCAACUCUUGAGAAGAUGGUACACAAAAUUGGAAUGCGAAGACUUCACAAUAUAAAUCGUGGUCUUCAUCAGGGGGAGUAGAAUACUCGUUGUACUCUUUUUUCCUUAGUCUAGAUUUUGUCCCAUUGGGUUUUCCUAGCAAGGUUUUUAAUGAGGCAACAAACAAAUGCGUAUUUAAAGAUAUAUGUACUCAUUUUCCUUCCCUAAAAGGUUCUUUAAUUAGGCAUAGACAUCCAAGGGGGAGUGUUGUGAACAUAUGGAUGUCUCAACGUGGCUUAUGGAUAGUACGUGUAUGGCAAGAUUAAAAGUGUGACUUUUGUGUGCACCUUGUGUCAAGAGAUGGAUGGCUUGUGUCUGCCAUCCACUACCUCAUGCACAUUGCCUAUAAAAGGGCUUUGCACUUCAUUUUGAAGAAUAGAACGAAUGAAGGAAUAAAUACAGUACAUUACUUUUUCUAUUGUUCUUCUUUUAGUGUAUUAAUUUUAGUUAGUUAUUUUAUAACACGUUAUCAGCACGAGUCUCUGCCAGUUCAAGUAAAGACUUUAAAAGCCUCGAAGGUAUAAAUUUUUCUUUCUUAAAUAAUGUCAAAUCUUUCUAAACUUGAAUUUCUUGCUUUAGACAUAUCGGGAAAAGGCUAUUUAUCAUGGGUACUUGAUGUAGAAAUUCAUCUUGAUGCGAUGGGUCUGGCAGACACCAUCCAAGAAAAAAAUCAAACAUCGAAUCAAAAUUGUGCUAAGGCAAUGAUAUUUCUCCGUCAUCACCUUGAUGAGAGUUUAAAAAUGGAAUAUCUCACUGUUAAAGAUCCUCUGGUGUUGUGGACUAAUUUAAAAGAUAGAUAUGACCACCUGAGGUUGGUCGUCCUUCCACAGAGAAAACAUUUUCCACUUUCCCUGCCUCGAGUAUGCUCCUACAGCAGUAAUACCGAGAAAUGGGAUUUAAAAAAUAUUCAGAAUUAAUUUCACAUCUCCUUGUUGCUAAACAACAUAAUGACUUACUGAUGAAAAACCAUGAAAGUCGACCUGCUAGUUCUAUGCCAUUUCCUGAAGUAAAUACGGCAAAUUUUCACCAAUCUAAGCGCGGAAAAGGUCAUGGCCCCAGUCGUGGCCGUGGCCGUGGUCGAGGAAGAAAUUUCAAUCAUGGUGAUCGUCUUGCACUAAAUAAUAACCUUCACCACCAGCAGUGUAAAAAGAAGGAUGAAAAGCAUGAAGUGGUGCAGAAGAAAAAUUCAGACAACAAAUGUUAUCGUUGUGGUGGAAAAGGGCAUUGGUCACGUACCUGUCGUACACCAAGGCACCUGGUUGAGCUAUAUCAAGCUUCCCUGAAGGAAGUGAAAAAUAACGCAGAAGCCAACUUUAUCUCUGAAGAUAAUGUUGAACCCAUGCAUCUAGAUAUAGGAGAUUUCUUUGAGAAUCCCGAAGGAAAAAUAGAUCACCUGAUAGGUGAUGGGUCUGUAAUAAUGUAAAUAUAUUUUACUUCUGUCGUUUGUAUGAACUAGUAUGAAUAUGUUUUCCUAGUCUUGUAAAUAAAUAAAAGGUUGUGUAAUGUUUUCUUUUAGUAAUAAUAUUAUAAUGUUUACUUCGUUUAUAUCUUUUAUCUUGAAGAGUAUAUGUAUACCUCUCAAAUUUUGUUUGGAUCAAUGAUCAAUCAUGAAGAUAUUUGUGUAAUUGAUAGUGGAACAACGCACACUAUAUUCAAAAAUGAGAAAUACUUCUCUUACUUGCUUAGAAGAAAAGCAAAUGUUACUACAAUUUCUGGUAAUUCGAACUUAAUAGAAGACUCCGGAAGAACUACAAUUUCUGGUAAUUUGAAUUUAAUAGAAGGCUCCUGAAGAGCUACUAUAUUUCUGCCUAAGGGGACAAAACUUGUUAUAGAAGAUGCAUUGUUCUCUUCUAAAUCCCCAAGAAACCUGUUAAGUUUUAAAGAUAUUCGCCGAAAUGGAUAUCAUGUUGAGACAAUAAAUGAAAUGAAUGUUGAGUACCUUGGUAUUACCAAGAUUGUCUCAGACCAGAAAUAUGUGUUAGAGAAAUUAUCAACUUUAUCUUCUGGCUUAUAUUAUGCAAAAAUAAGUACAAUUGAAGCACCCUCUAUCGUAAACUAGAAGUUUACUGACUUAAAAACUUUUGUGCUUUGGCAUUACCGAAUAGGUCAUCCUGGAUCAAUAAUGAUGAGACGAAUCAUUGAAAACUCAAAUGGACAUCCAUUAAAGAACCUGAAGAUUCUUACAAAUGAUAAGUUUUCAUGUGCUGCUUGUUGUCAAGGCAAAUUGAUUACUAGGCCAUCACCAAUGAAAGUUAUCAUUGAAUCCCCUCAAUUUUUAGAACGUAUACAUGGGGGUAUUUGUGGACAUAUUCACCCAUCUAGUGGGUUGUUUAGAUAUUUUAUGGUCCUAAUAGAUGCGUCUUCAAGAUGGUGUCAUGUGUGCCUCUUAUCAUCUCGCAACUUGGCGUUUGCGAAAUUAUUGGCACAAAUGAUAUGAUUAAGAGCGCAAUUUCCAGAUUAUCCCAUUAAGGCAAUUCGCCUGGAUAAUGCUGGAGAAUUCACGUCCCAAGCUUUUGAUGAUUAUUGCUUAUCAAUAGGGAUAAAAGUUGAACAUCAAGUAGCUCAUGUUCAUACUCAAAAUGGCCUUGCUGAGUCAUUUAUUAAGCGCUUACAAUUGAUAGCAAGACCUCUACUUAUGAAAACUAAGUUGCCCACUACUGUUUGGGGUCAUUCUAUCUACAUGCAUCAUUCUCUGUUCGUCUCAGACCGACUCAUUAUAAUAAAUACUCUCCGUCACAAUUGGUAUUUGGUCAUGAACCAAAUAUUGCUCAUCUACGAAUUUUUGGAUGUGCUAUAUAUGUGCCAGUAGCACCACCUCAGCUCACUAAGAUGGGCCCCCAAAGAAGGCUAGGCAUAUAUAUUGGGUUUGAUUCGCCCUCCAUAAUUCGCUACCUUUAGCCAUUGACGGAAGAUUUAUUCACUGCAAGAUUUGCAGAUUGUCGAUUUGAUUGAAACAAGUUUUCCGCAAUUAGGGGGAGAGAAAAAGGAACUUAAAAGUAAAAUUGCAUGGAAAGUUUCAUUCCCCUGUAUGUGAACAAGAGGUCCAGAAGAUCAUCCAUUUGCAAAACAUAGCAAAUCAAAUGCCAGACGCAUUUACUGAUUUGAAAAGGAUAACAAAGUCACAUAUUCCUACAGUGAAUGUGCCUAUCCGAAUUGACGUCCCAAAAGGACCAUCUACAAAUGUCAUGGCUUCUGAAUCAAAAACACGCCUGAAGUGUAGUAGACCAUUGGGUUCAAAAGACAAAAAUCCUAGAAAAAGAAGCACAAAAAGUAAAGAUGACACUAUAAAAGAGUCUCAUGAAGAAGUUCAAGAUCUGAUUAAUCCUGAUAUUCUUGAAGAAAUCAGUGAACCCGAGACUCAAGUAAAUGAAGAACUUUCAAUAAGUUCUACGGGUAAUGGGAUAAACUUAGAUCGAUCGAAAAUCAUAGUGGAUAAUAUUUUUGCAUAUAAUGUUGCACUUAACAUUAUGUAAGACAGUGAGGAUCUUGAACCCUUAUCUGUCGAAGAAUGUCGACGAAGAUGUGAUUGGCCAAAAUGGCAAGAGGCAAUUCAAUCAGAAUUGAACUCACUUGCUAAACGUAAGGUUUUUGGACCUGUAGUCCAAACCCCAAAUGGUGUAAAAUCUGUUGGCUAUAAAUGGGUUUUUGUGCGAAAAGGAAAUGAGAGAAAUGAAGUUGUAAGAUACAAGGCACGCCUUGUUGCACAAGGAUUCUCUCAACGACCCGGUGUCGACUAUGAAGAAACAUAUUCACCAGUUAUGGAUGCAAUAACUUUUCGAUAUCUCAUCGGCUUAGCUGUACAUGAAAAUCUUGAAAUACAUCUAAUGGAUGUGGUUUCAGCUUAUAUUUACGGUUCACUUGAUAAUAAAAUUUAUAUGAAAGUUCCAGAAGGACUUAAAAUGCCUGAAGCAUAUAGUUCAAAACCUCGGGAAAUGUGUUCAAUCAGAUUACAAAAGUCAUUAUACGGCUUAAAACAAUCAGGGCGCAUGUGGUAUAAUCGCCUCAGCGAGUACUUGAUAAAACAAGAUUAUAUAAUCGAUGCCAUUUGUCCUUGUAUUUUUAUUAAGAAAACAACAUCUGGAUUUGUUAUUCUUGUUGUUUAUGUUGAUGACAUUAAUCUCAUUGGAACUCCAAAAGAUGUUCAAAAGGCAAUUGAAUAGCUAACUAAAGAAUUUGAGAUGAAAGACCUUGGUGAGUAAAGAUCCAUUCCGACCUCAAGAAGAGAAUGAGGAACCUCUUGGUCCUGAAGUACCUUAUCUUAGUGCAAUUGGCGCACUUAUGUAUCUUGCUAAUGCUACGAGACCUGACAUAGCAUUUUCUGUUAAUUUAUUAGCAAGAUAUAGUUCUUCCCCUACACGAAGACAUUGGAAUGGAGUUAAACAUAUAUUGCGAUAUUUAAAGGGGACGAGUAGUAUGGGUUUAUUUUAUACUAACAAAGAUAGUGCAGAUCUUGUUGGUCAUGCAGAUGCAAGUUAUUUAUCUGACCUACAUAAAGCUUGAUCUCAAACAGGCUAUUUGUUCACAUAUGGAGGUACUGCUAUAUCAUGGCGAUCUACGAAGCAGUCCAUUGUCGCUACUUUUUCAAAUCAUGCUGAGAUAAUAGUCAUUCAUGAAGCAAGUAGAGAAUGUAUAUGGUUGAGAUCAGUGAUACAUUUCAUCAAAGAAAGAUGUGGUUUGAAGUAUGAUGUCAAGGUACCCACAGUGCUCUUUGAAGCCAAUGUUGCAUGCAUAGCUAAAUUAAGAGGAGGCUUCAUAAAAGGAGAUAGAACGAAGCACAUUUCACCAAAAUUAUUCUUCACACAUGAUCUCCAGAAGAAUGGUGAUAUUGAUGUACAACAAAUCCGUUCAAGUGAUAAUCCAACAGAUUUAUUCACUAAAUCUUUACCAGCCUCAACUCUUGAAAAAAUGGUACACAAGAUUGGAAUGCAAAAAUUCAACCAUCUAAAUCGUGGUUUUUAUCAGGGGGAGUAAAAUACGUAUUGUACUCUUUUUUCCUUAGUCUAGGUUUUGUCCCACUGGGUUUUCUUAGAAAGAUUUUUAAUGAGGCAACAAGUAAUGCGUAUUAUGUAUGUCUAUGUAUAUUUUUGUUUUUUCAACUUUUCUUUUACAUGGACAUCCAAGGGGGAGUGUUGUAAAGCAAAUAUGGAUGUCAUGUGGCCCCCAACAAUUUGAGGACUUACAUCACUUGUAAUAGUGUAAAGCCAAGGCUCAUGCCUUGUGGGACUAACUAAGGCUGGGCAUCGGAACGGGUUGUACCGGUACCAUUCCGAUCCAUUCCGACUUUUUUGUUUAUUUAAUUUUUUUAAAAUUACAAACUUAAGUUAUUUAACUUACAAGUUAUAAGUAUAACUUAAUAACUUAUAAACUUCAAAAGAUUCAAAUCUUUAAAACUUAUAACAUAACUACAUAAGCUCAAAAACUAAAAAAAAAACUUUAUUAAACUUAACUUACAAACUUAUAUACGUAAAAAUUAAAAAAAAUAUCUUUAAAAUAAACUUAAGUAAAAUUAUUAUAAAUUUUAAAACUUAAAUACUAUAAACUAAUAUAACUUAGAAAAAUAAAAAAAACAUUCGUAUUUUCGUAAUUCAAAAUAACUCAAAAAAAAUAAUUAUUUUUUGAAAUAGCUAUAUGUGCCGUCCCGUUUAUCCCAUCCCGUUCCGUUCCGGUCCAUUCCGGUCCGUCCCGAUUCUAUCCCGGUAUAUAGUGGGACGGGACGGAACUGAGCCUCCAUCCCGAUAGUUCCGGUCCGGUUCAUCCCGGUACCGGUCAACAACCCGGUCAAACCGUCCCGUUCCGAUCCGGUGGUCCCAUUCCGAUCCGGUGCCCAGCCUUAGGACUAACCCAUUGGAGGGCCACCAUCACUUGACCAAUUAAAAUGGCCAAGUUAUACAUUUGUAAGUCAUCUUUUGGCUAUAAAUAGCCAUUACAUUUACAAAGGAAUAUAUACGUAUUGAAAUACAUUACUCUCUCAAUUGUCCUUUUUCAGUAUAUUAAUUUUAGUUAGUUAUUUUACAACACUCGAUAGUUUCUGGAUAACCAAACAAAAUGAGCUCUCACAAAAAGACUAAAAAAUUAUAUUGUUAGAUGCCUAAUAUAUUGUUUCCUCCGUUUAAAAAAAAUGACUUUUGAAUCUUGUGUUACUAAAUUAAAGUUAUGUCAAAUGUACAAAAUUGCCCUUUAAUCUUGUGGCCUUAAACAUGCCACGUGGAAAGUUGCAAUUAAAAUGUUACCAAAAAAAGAAAGAGGUCAUUCUUUUUUAAACAGACUAAAAAGGAAAGUAGGUCAUACUUUUUGAAAUAGAGAGAGUAUUUAUUACUCAUAUUAUAUAUAAGAGAAAAGACAUAAAGUGACACCUGAACUUGUCCCAAAUUUUCAAAAAGACACCUUAACUAUGCAGACGUCCUAUUACCCCACUAAACAAUCUUGAACUGAUAUUAUAACAUCAUUUUUUGUCCACCUGACAUAGAGAGUGUGUGUUGAGAGAGUGAGCAACCUAAAAUAACUAAUAUAAUUUUAUUAUAAAAUAUUUUUUAUUAUUAUUUUAACUUUUUUUCCUUAUUAUUUUUUUCUCUUUGUUUCUUCUUUCUUCUUCAAAAAUUCAUUGUUAUCUCCAUUGAAACUUCUCACCCUCACAAUGUCACCAUUUUUACCACAACUUCACCUUCCCUUUUUUACUACUAUUAGUUUUACUCUCUUUAAUUUUAAAAUUUUAUCUAAAUAUUUUCUUACAUUUCGAACAAUUUGAUAAACCCAUUAGAUUUCAAGAUGACUAAGAGGUAUCAUAUAGUUUUUUUUAUCCGAUUUCAAUCAAGUUCUUUCAAUUUUUGGGGAGUUCAUUGAUUCUUUUAAAAUUAUCAUUUCUAAUUUUGAAGUUAUAUGAAAAUGAGUAAUUGAUGAUACCUUCAAAAAGUUAAAUUUUCUUAGAAAAAUAAUUAAUUUUGUUAUCAAUAAUUUAAUAAAGUCUAGAAAAUAGUAUGAUUUUUUUUUAUAUAAAAAAAUCAUUAAAAUAAAGAAUUUGAUUGGAGAUGAAGAAAAAAAAGAAAAGAAAAAAUAGGGAGAGAGGUUCAACUUGACGUCGAGGAUGGGGUGAGGGUGAAAGGUGAAGAAAAAGAAAGAAAAUGAAGGGAUGAAUCAACUUGAAAUGGGGGGGGGGGGAUAUGAAAUCAAAUUAAAAUAAGUCAAAAAGUAAGAGAGAGAAAUAAAGAAAAAACUAAAAAUAAAAAAAAUAAAAUUAAUUAAAUUAACACGUGUCAUGCAAUGAUUGGUGUGUGAACACACUUGCUUUUUAAAAUUUGGGGCUGAUAAAAAAAUGAUAUAAUAAUAACAAUUCAAUAUUGUUUAGUGGGGUAAUAGAACGAUUGUAAAGUUAAGAUGUCUUUUUGAAAACUCUGAACAACUUUAGUGAUGACUUUAUGUUUUUUUUCGAUAUAUAAUUAUCAGAAAAAAGUUACUGUUAUAUGGGACUUGAGCUCAGUUUUCAAUUGGUAGAAGAAGCCAAUGGGAGACAAAUUUGAUGGAAUGCAAGUAGCUGUAUAUAUGCAAUCGAUUUGCAGCGAAGAAAUACAUUAGUGAGCUAAUAUAAAAAGAAAGAAAAAAAGAAAAGAAAAAUAGUUUAUUUUAGUGACAUUCAAUACUCUUUAAUAGUAUUUGGUUGAGAUUUCAAUUACUCCUUCCCUUCACUUUUACUUGUCACAGUUUAAUUUAAUACACCAUUAAGAAAGUAAUAAUGAUAUAAAUAUGGAACACUAAUGUGAAAAAGAAGUUCUAAAGUGUGUGGUAAAAGAGAAAAAAAAUAUGGAUUAUUAUGGUACUAAAUUUGUUACAAUAUAUUUAGUUUCUAUCACACUUUCAACUUUUUUUUAGUUUAGGAGUUUUUUUUUUUUUCGUGUCUGAAAAAGUAAAAAUAUUUGAAUUAUUGCAAGAGUCCAAUUCUUUUGUAAAUCGUUGUUCAAAGCUUGAAAUCUCAAUUCAAUUUGUUGGUUAUCGAUGUGAGGCCAAAAAUACAUAUUUUUAGUUAUUAUUUGUUUCAUAUUUAGUAUUUUUAUUUGUACUUUUUGAGCAUUAAUUUUAUAAAUUGUGCUUAAUAAUGUAUUUUAUUUUGAAGAACUAAAUUGACGUGAAAUGAAAAAAUCUGAAACUAAACGAAUAAAAGAUUGAAAAUUAGUUUUUCAAACAAGAAGAUUAUAUCUUCAAGAAUAGUAACUUUGAACAUAAAUCCUAGGUACAGAAAUCAAAUAAAGUGUCAAUUAUUUAAGAGUGUUUGGUAUAGAGGGAAAAUGUUUUCCAAUUUUUUCAUGUUUGGUUGGCUUAAAUGUUUUGAAAAUCUUUUUCAAAUCAACUUAUUUUCCUCAAAUUUAAGAAAAAUGACUCAUCUUCCAAAACUAAGGAAAAUAUUUUCUAAAACUCUACUUCAUCCUUAAUUUUUUUUUCUUACCCUACCCAUAACCUGCACCCGACCCUCCUCAUUCAAUUUUUGUUUUAUUUAUAAGUUUUCUUAUUUUUUAAAUUUCAAAUAUAUUUUUAUCCUACCACAAAACUACCCCGGUCAAACAAAAAAAAAGAAAUUUUAAAAAUUAUAUUUGAAAAAUGUUUCAAAUUUUAAGAUUUAAAAAAAAAUUAAAAAACUUUUCAUGUUUUACGCCACCCCACUUCUAUCCCCCUCCCCCCGCGCCACCCCCAACCCAGGCCUUCCCAAUCAGUUUUUUUAAAAAAAGAAAAUUGUUUUUGUAAAAUAUUUCAAAUUUUAAAAAAAAAUCAUUUUUACGCCACCCUCUACCCUUCCCACCAGUGGCGGAGCCAGGAUUUUCGUCAAGGGUGUUCAUACUUUAGGACAAGUUAAAAAAUAAACCUUGUUGGUCAAAUUAUAAAGAUUGGUUACAAAAUAGUCAUACCUCAAUUAUUGAUUUCUACAUAGUGCUCCAAGUUGUUCAUACUCUUUACUUGUUCAAUAUCAAAUUAACCAACUAUCCAAAAUGAAAAUUCUUAAAACGGAAAUUUACAAAAUUUCAAUGGUUCUCGAGUGCAAGUUCCUCCCAGGGUGUAGGCUCGGGGUGUGACAGAAGACUAGUUCUAGACACGUGCAUUGCAUGUAUAUCUCUGACAAUCAAUACAUACAUUUAAAAUGUAAGUAUUAUUAAAAUAUGUGUGUGAUAUUCAAAAUUAAAUUUGAAAAGAAUAGAACUCAAAAGAUAAUAGGUGUUCAUAUAUGUCAAAGCAAUAUCGUAGUUGAACUUGAAAUGAAUGGGUAGAACGAUUAUUAUAUGUUAAAUUAAUUUUUGAAGUUACAAUUUGGUUGUGACUCUUUCUAUAGAGUCCAUUCAGUAUAACAACAAAUAAAAGUCUCAACUAAGAUAUAGUAACAUAGUAUGGGUUUUUAAAUGUUAUUUAUUUAGCGUGAGUAAAGUUAUUUGACAUAGCCUUUGAAUGAAUAUAUAUGUAUCGUGAUAGUAAAUUUAUCAUAGACUUAUUCAAAAUAAAAUGGAUGCUUAUUAUCUAUAAUUAUCCAUGUGCUUUUUGGCACAAUAAGUAUAGCAUGCAAAACAAACUCUACACCUUUAAUAACAACAUAAUAACAUUCUUAAACUUAUAAAAAUGAGGAUAAUAAUUAAAAAAUAAAAACUUGUUGUGAAAUAUUAGCAAUAUAAAAUAAUAUAAGACAAUAAAUAUAUGAACAAGAUAUAUGGGAGAGAAUGCUUUCUUAUAUAUUUCUUAUGUACUUUUCGAUUAUAUCUUUUAUAAAAUAAUCAUCGCCUAUUUAUAGUACAAAAUGUCUCUUCAAAGUUACAUGAAGUUCAUUUAUUUCGUACAUGAACUUCAAAGAGAGUUAUAGAUGACAUCCACAUUAAUGCAUUUAUAGUACUCCCCCUUGGAUGUCUAUAGAUAAUGUGUCUCGUUAAACCUUACUAGGAAAAAUCUAGUGAAAAAAAUCUUUGAGUGCUGCCUCAUUAAAAACCUUACCAGAAAAACCUAAUGGGACAAAACCUUGGUUAAGGGAAAAUGAGUAUAGCGCGUAUUUUACUCCCCCUGAUGAAAACUUUAUUUGAUAUCUUGGAGAUGACACAUUUACUCCCCCUGAUGAAAACUUUAUGAAAACUAAGACAUUUAAAAAUACGAAAGCAGAUUUAAAUGACUAUAAAAAUAGAGUCCCUAUAAACUCCAAGGUUUUAACAAACAACUAACCAAACUAAUACGGAAGAACAACUCCUAGAACUUGAAAGUCAUUGUACCAAAACUCUACUAACGACAAGUCUAAGAACAAGGGGUACUACUCCGAAACUAAACAAACACCUUAAACAAAUAGUCUGAGUCCGAAAAGAAUGGACUUAAACGAGAGAGAUCCAUGGCAGCCUGAAAGAAUUGGUUCACCCUUGAAUCCGGUCACGAUCAAUAGUCACUUAGCUGAGGUCUAUCAAUAGCCACCUGAAGAUGUCCUGUACUCAAUAAAGAACAAGCAAGUGCAGUAUCAGUACACAACCACAAUGUGCUGGUAGGAUCACGCGGCUAUCUCAACAAGUGAAACACAUGCAAGUAACCACAACAUUAUAAAACAGGCAUAUACCGAACAUAUACAAUAUNNNNNNNNNNNNNNNNNNNNNNNNNNNNNNNNNNNNNNNNNNNNNNNNNNNNNNNNNNNNNNNNNNNNNNNNNNNNNNNNNNNNNNNNNNNNNNNNNNNNNNNNNNNNNNNNNNNNNNNNNNNNNNNNNNNNNNNNNNNNNNNNNNNNNNNNNNNNNNNNNNNNNNNNNNNNNNNNNNNNNNNNNNNNNNNNNNNNNNNNNNNNNNNNNNNNNNNNNNNNNNNNNNNNNNNNNNNNNNNNNNNNNNNNNNNNNNNNNNNNNNNNNNNNNNNNNNNNNNNNNNNNNNNNNNNNNNNNNNNNNNNNNNNNNNNNNNNNNNNNNNNNNNNNNNNNNNNNNNNNNNNNNNNNNNNNNNNNNNCACCUAUCUCGAAUCCAAGCUUGAAUCCCCUAAGGCACUUGAAUCUUCCCUUUUCGGAUUCUUCCCGCUUGUUGUGGUCAAAAAACAUACAAUUAACGCAAGGAUCAAUAAACGAGGCCUAAUUACCCGGAUUAUAAUCAACAUUAUCAACCCUAGGCCAACCCAAGAUCCCAAUACCCAAAUUAGGGCUUUUUCCACCAUUAACUCCAUAUCAAAACCUUUCCCCAAUGAUAAUUACCCAAGAAACUACAUUCUACGGAUCGAAAUACGAAUUCGGGGAGUGAAAACCUUACCUUUAGCCUCAAGAAUGGUGAAAAAUGGUCAAGAACUUGUCUGGGGUCGUUCCUUAGCUCUCAAAGUUGAAAAGUGCAGAAUAAAGUCGUUUUGUGGUUUAUUUACGACCUUAAGUCGCAUCUGGCCCUCCAUAUCAACCUUCACCCCGCUACAACGGCCGCGCCCUGGCAGCAGAAAUCCCGCCCCAACGUCUUGCACAUAAUCAAUGAGCUAUUUUAAUAAUUCCAAGACCCCCAUUUCACCACACAUCUUUAAUCAACGACGCUAAAAAAAUAUCGUUCAUGCUAAGAUCGAUUCCGGGAGUUCUACUCACUCGAAUUCAAUUCCGUAAAGUCGUACGGGUUCCUUAACGACCUAUCUAACUAUUCAUGUAAUAAAAGAAUCAUAAAUAAGUCACUCGGUUGUUAUCAGAUUUCCUUACACCUUAAUGGCUCCGAUUUCGUCUAAAUCUGAACUAGGUUGGGAAAUUUCAAGUUACUACGUAAAAGUUUUCUGACCCCAAUUCUUUCUCCAUUGGCUUUUCCCUAACGACAGAAUCAAGUCGUUACAAUAGAUACCAAUUUAUCCAUCACUCGUCCCCGAGUGAUCAACUAGGAAAGACUGGCUAAAGUAAGGGUAGAGUAGUAUCUGAAUCAUUGAAUUACUGGGGAUACUUGUCUCGCAUGCCCUUCUUACUGAAUCUCAUUACCCCCCAAGGGUUCACAUCUCCAACCUCAAACCAACCAAUUCAAUACCUACACAUCCUCUCUUACAAUGCCUCAAUGAAGUCAUCUCAACACUCGAAUGAUAAAUAUUGUUGUAUGUAAAGUUAACUAACAACAAAACGAUUCCCAACAACCACCAAAGUUGAUCGUACACACCUUUGCCACUUGUUAUCAAAGAUCUUGACACAAUCAUCAGGACUAAUCCUUUCUCACAUAAGCAUGAUAACAUUCUAAAUCAAUACUCGCUACAAUUAGAAGUGAACCGGAACCAACCAACACACACUCAUAAUACUCAACCAAUCAUAGUUCUUAUUGAACAUCUCCUUCUUCACAACAUAAAUUUCCAUGAUCUUAAGUUACAAAAUUUGAUCUUUAGACAUCAGAUACUCAUCGAGGGAUAUGUCCAAGCAGACAACCCUCUAACCAUACUAUUGAAUGCUACAUUUAGCAAUUAUGAUUGUAGAUUACCCUUAAGAACAGUAGAAUUGGACCCAAUGAUCCCCACAUUCAUCCACACACAAUCAAUACAUGACCUCAACGACAAGAUGAAAUAUUAGAUUGUCGGACAACCAUAAAUAUGCAUGGUAGCUCUUCUAUAAACUUUCAUAAGCAAGGUGGUACAUGUAAAACCACUGACAUACCUUAACAACUUCAAGACAACACCAAUUAUGUCAUUCGAUAUAACCAAAUCUUCCCAAUCUUCCCACUCAACCAAGAGAACAUCGCAAGAUUUGGUACCCCUGAUCCACCACUAGGGAUCCACCCAAAAAAGCGAAAACACACGAUAGCAUAACUAGUGAAUCAUACUCACAAUACUAACUACCAUCAUAAACACUUCGACUUUUUACCUUAUUACAAACCAACACUUUUUAAAUGAAACCUUUCUUAGGUACUUAACAAUCAAUAGUAAUAAACUUUACGACUCAACCAGGUGUAAGUCUUUUCAAAGGUUCAAUACCUGAUACAAUUGACCAUUCUUCACCUUGCUAAUUCAUCCCUUGACAAAAUAUAUUACCACGAAUAUAGACUUACAAUGAAAAAUAUGAAUUGUAAAUUCAAUCGUAUAACACAAUCCCCUUAUCUAUCGAAAUUAGCUUGUACCUUAAAGAUUCUUAUGAAUUCAUAGAUCUUCGCUUAUCAUUGAUCGCAUCUCCAUCGAUCUUACAAUAUCCUUCAAUAAAAAUUCAAUCAUACUCAUUACUAAACUCAAAAACGAAAACAAGCACUUAUCAUCACGCUCAAGCUAAUGUCUGCACAAUCAUUUCUCACUUUUUCAAUAGUUUUUAACCCAUCUGAUGGACCCAUGACACUAUUACCAUAGCCACAUCAAAACAAUGAAAUCACGCGUCUCUGAACCCAAUUAUCUACCCCUCUGUAGAUACCUCUUUAGCCUUAAGAAUACAAUAAAAAUAUUCUUGCUCUCGCCUCUCUCUCUCUAAGGCUAUACUACAUUCUACUAUAUUUACCUUCAUUAUAACUCUAGCCAUUUAACAUUCUAUUUGAGUGGUUGCCUACCAUCUCUUAUAAUUUUCCAUACACCCAUGUUACUCACCAAGUAUUAGAAAACCACAACUUAGAUACUUGUAAGUCGUAAUUACAGUACAAAUUUCGCUUAACCAAUAAUCUCAUUAUAUAUUUGCAUCCCGUCACAAUCCACCACGAACUCUUAUUACUAUUAUGCUCUGUUAGCCCUGGCUAUAACUACGAAGUCAACCUUUCCAUCAACACAACACCUCAAACUUAGGUAUACUCAUCAAAUUCAAAGGACUAACCCAAUUUUUAUACGCACCUUCUUACUAGCAUCUUCAAUUUUCUCCACCCAGGUAUACUCAAUAGGACUUUCUUUAUCCAUAAGCUUGUCAUUCUGGUAUUAAUCCACUCCAUUAUGGCUCAAUAUAAAAUCACUAGUCCUCAUACUACCCUCCCACUUCUUAACAACAAGACAUAAGCACCCCACGGGGAAGCACUAGGACGGAUGAACCUUAUCAAGAAGAUCUUGGAUUUGAGUCUUAAGCUCUCUUAAUUUUGCUAGAGCCAUACGAUACAGAGGGAUGGAAAUGGGGUGAGUGCCAGUUUCCAAGUCAAUGCAGAAAUCUAUAUCUCUAUCUGGAGGCAUACCAGGCAAAUCCAUAGGAAACACUUCCUUUAACUCAGACACCACAGGAACAGACUCAAUAGAGGGAGACUCAACCUCAACAUCCCAAACAUGAGACAAAUAAGCCAAACAACUCUGCCCUACCAAUUUCCUAGUCCGAAUGGAGGAUAUGAUCUUAGCUAGCUUAGGCUUGUACACUCAUUCCCACUCUAAUCUUUCCCUACCGUGGAUCUCUAGAGUUACCGACUUAAUAUUACAAUUAAGCCCGGUAUAAUAGGGGGACAAUCAAGUCAUGCCUAAGAUUAUAUCAAGUCAGUCAUAUCCAACAUAACCAAAUCAAUUCAAAUCUAAAAAUUCAUAACCACAACAGGACAACACGAUACACAUGGGUGACUAUGACUAACUCUUCAACUGGGGUAGAAACAUGGAUGGGGGCAUCAAGUAUAUCACAAACCACAUCAAAUCUCAAGGCAAUUGAACUGACACUUACGUAUAAGUAGAAUCCGGAUCAAACAAAACAAUAGCCAUCCGGGCACAGACAAGAAUAGCACUUGUGACCACUGCAUCACACCCUCAAACUCGAUCUUGCCUAGAAAAACAUAAAACUGAGCCCUGUCAUCUUGAUGGGCACCCUCCUUGACUGGAUACACUACUCCUUUACCCGCAUUACCAUUUCCCCGGCCUCCACAGUCUUACUGAUUUCCUCCUCAUAUGCCCAGGUUCUCCACAAUUAUAACACACUUGAUAACUUAAUGUAACCAAAUAAGCCUCGUUGUUAUUGGAGCAGUCGUAUCCUGACCAUUCUUGAUAUACAAUCAAUCCAUGAACUCGCAGUAUGGCUUCUAACCUCAAUUUGUUGAACACUGAUUGGAUUGCAGGGGUUAGUUCAGAUUUGAUUCGGGUUUCAUAAGAGAUCUGGGGAAAACAAAGGAAACAUGGCUGAGAUUCUAUCUCGCCCUGUCUCGCUCUGGCAGGAGAAAUCCCGCACUGGCGGUCUCGCCGUGACGGGGAAAAUCUCGCUCCAGCGACCGUGACGGAAACAUAACCUAAGCCAACAAUUUCUGGGGUUCCUCUCUUUUCUACAUUUUCCCUAGAUUUCCUGGUUAUAACUAGGCAUUUAAGAAAAAUCCAUUUAGCUAGGACAAUCAUUGUCUACCCCCCGGUCAACCCAACAAAAUACGCACUUUAGAAUCAUUUUACAUCGUUUCAACACUACCACACACAUAUCCCCAGACUCUCACACGGUUAUCAGUUAGUCGCAACACACGUCCAAAUUUCUCUCUUACAAAUCACAUCGUAAUUUAUCUAGACCUUUGCACGUAAUCUAGUGAUGACUUUCCUUUAGCAACAAGUUUCACGACACUCAAGCAUUUUCAACUUGUAGAUAAGUCCAAAUUCUUUAAUUAGUUCAUUCCAUAGACGGCCAUUACUGAUCAUCCAUGCCUUAUACGGCCCCUAAGGCCAGAUACCAAUUGGAACUAGCCCAUGGGGCCGAUCUAAUCCUACCCAUUAUUGGGGUAGGGUUGGGAUAGGAUUUUUCAAGCCCAUUUAAAAUUAGGGCUUAUAAACCCAGCCUAUAUAAGCCUUUGGCCCUUGAGGCUUAAUCGGGGCUGGGCCGGGUCUACCCAUGGGCCAAAACUUUUUAUUCAAGAGUAAUUUACAAUAAUCUCACUAGUACAUAAUCUAAUAAUUUGUAUACACGCUAUGUUGUAAUACUAUAAAUCUUCGUAUCCAGAUACAUGUAUCUCACAAUAUAUGGACUCAAAAUUAGGUUAAUUUGUUCUAGAUACACUCUAUCAAAGUAGAUUCGCAUGUAUCUAGGAUACAUAUACAGAUCUCUUUAAUUCCCUCGCUUCCUUUCCAUCUUGCUUGUCACUCUCUUAUCUCACUUGCAUAUCUGGUAUGCAAGAUACAUGUUAAUUACACUAAAUUUUUGCUAGUGUUAUUGAAACAACACCAUUGUUUGUCAUAUUUGAUGUGAAAAUCAUCUCAUUUUCUUGAUGUUAUAGAAUUACAAAUUUGAAGGAAAAAAAAAGAAAAAAAAAUAAGGGCUAGCCCACCCCACCCCUCGACCCUUCUAGGGUUGGGUUGGGUUGAGCAUUUUCAGGUCCUACCAAAUGAAGGGUCAGCCCGCCCUAGCCCUUCAAAUUUGUUGGCCUGCGAGGCUUGGAUCGGGUGGGGUUGGGCCGUCCCUUUUUGACAGCUCUACAUGCAUUAUAAUGAGCAAUUACACACAUAUAUCACACCAACAUGAAAUCAUAAUCAUCACCUACCUUGAAUCCCCUAAGGAACUUGAAUCUUCCCUUUCCGGAUUCUUUCCGCUUGUUCGUGGUUUAAAAAUAUACAAUUAACGCAAGGAUCAAUAAACGAGGCCUAAUUACCCAGAUUAUAAUCAACAUUAUCAACCGUAGGUGAAACUGAAACGACUCGGGAAAAAAAUGAUAGGUUAAGCAAGAGCUUAUGACUUUGUGUUGACUUUAUAAUGAGGUUCUAUGAGGGGUUUAUAUGUAAUUUCGUUUUAAUUGUGUAACUCCGACAAUUUAAAAUGAAUAAGAAGAAGCUUGAAAUUGGAAGUAGUCACUUUUGGAAAAAUUCAAAAUCUGGAAAUUUGGUUAAGUGUGGGAAAUCAGUGAGUUUUUGGCCAACUUUGAGCAGUCAUAACUCCUAGAUCAGGAUGAUCCCGGAGUAGUUCUUGGCCAACUUUGAGCAGUCAUAACUCCUAGAUCAGGAUGAUCCAGGAGUAGUUCUAGUUAUGUUUGGAAAGCCCUUGGAACGAUCUUUCCAACGCCACCGAGUUUGCUCGAUUCCGAGUUCGUAUGAGCGAGUUAUGCCCUUUGAAAGUUGGGCAGUUGGCAGGGAGUCCGUCCGGAAAUUUAAGGGCAUUUUGGUCUUUUCACAAAUCUUUUCUUUUGAGGUUAUAUUGUUGUGUUAGGCUGUUUGUGGAUCAUUUUUGUUCCAUUUUAAAAGAGUAAGAGUUAGGGUUCUUGAGUGAAGAAGAGAAAGAAGAGAGGAAGAAGAGGAGUUGGAGCUAGGGUUGAAGAUUUCUUGGUGUUUCUUCUUCAAAUUUCGUGGGGAAUUCAUCUUUAAGGUAUGGGGAUCCUUUAUCCUUGAUCAUUCUUUCUUUCAAGGAGCCCAAUCAAAAGGUUUUCAAGGUCUUUCAAAUACACCAAAAUCCUAUUUCGAAUUCUAAGCACGGGUUCUUGCAUUAAAUGAUUUCCAAUGAUGUUUUAUAUUUUUAUUAAUGAUUAUUGAUGGGUUUAGGAAAGAAAUCUUCAUGAACCCAUGCCUUUACAAAUUCUCUAAAUUUGGCCUAAAGUGGGUGUAUUGAUUUUGUGUAAUUGAUGGACGAUUAUUGUGUAAAUUGUUGUGGGCUGUUCAUGUAUGUAUUUAUCUAUGUUGAAUUGUUAAGAAUUGUUAUUGAAUUGAAGGAUGUGGGACGCUAGCCUUGAAUGGGAAAAAUUGUGAAUUGGUCUUCAUGUUGAUUUUGGGGCUUAUGCUUAGCUUAGUUUGUAUAGUUGAAUGUUGUUAUUAUCAUUGUUAUUGUAUUGUUAAUUGUUGGAAUAUGAGGAUGAUGAAGAUUGCCAUGGAAAGAGGGUAAGUUGAUCAAACUUGAUAAAUAUUGUAUAAUUGGCAUGGAAUUGAGUAUUGUGGCUUAUAGCCUUUGAAAAGGGUGGUAAGAUGGCUUGACCUCUUAGUAUUAAUAUAAUAACAGUAUUAAUAUAAUUGUUAUUGAUUGGUUUGAUCCACCUUUGGUGGAGGUGGUUAUUUGUCGUAUUAUUGUGAAUUGAGGCCAUGAAGGACAUUAUGUGAAUGUUAUUAUAUUGUUGUAUUAUUAUACACAUAUGAGGCUAUAUGUAAAAUCCUAUAUGGAGCUAUAUGUGAAGGUAUGAUAUGAAUGAUUUUAUGUGAUCUUGUGAUGAUCCUAUGUAAAGUGGAUAGCAUUGUGAGUUAAAGUAUGAUUUCUCAUGAUGUAUAUAUGAAAUGAUGUUGGAUUAUGAAGUAUCCUUAAAUGAAAAUGUUGUGACUUGGUUGGUAGACUAAAGUGUCCCUCCUUGUUACUUAAAGUCUUGAAUGCAUGAAUGUGUGAAGUGGGCUAGAACUAAAAAAUGGUGCCCUUUCUAUAAAUGCUAAAAGAGGAAUUCUAGGCCAAGACUUGAAUCGGCAAAACUAAGAAAUGGUGCCCUUUCAUAAGUCUAGCUUUCCUAAGUAAAUGUAAAACCAUGAAAUCGGUAGACCUAAUGGUGGUAGCCCUUCUCAUGUGUGAAAUGAUGAACCUUGGACCGGCAGGCUUAAGGCACCCUUAAUGAAAAAUCGGUAGGCCUAAGGCACCCUUCCAUGGGGAUUUAAUGAGCUAUCCUUAAUGAACCUUGAUCGGUAGAUCCUUGUGGUGCCUUUCUUGGUAGAUGUGCUAUGGGUCGGUAGACCUAAUGAUGGUGCCCUCUCUAGCACAUACAUGUGAAUGAAAUUACUCUAUGGGAACUAAGGCUAAGCACCGAGUGGAUAUGGUUAAGAUGGUAGCUCUCCCGAGUAUGAGGCAAGAGUACAAUGAACAUCUUUGGAUAUCCCCUAAACCAUGUGCCUACAUGGGUUGCUUACUAGUUCUACCUUUGGCAAGAAGAACAACCUCCACGGAGUAGGAUAGACUCCGGAUUCCAUACCUAGCUAGUAUGGUCUAUGUCGGUUAUGCCUAUUCCCAUCAUGUGGGAUGUGCACUCUAGUUAUUGGAUAGGUUCUACAACGUGUAGGUAGUAGUAUGGGAUGCUAUCUACACAUGGCACGAGUAGGCUUUGAAGAUACUAAAGUGAGUUCCCUAAGUCUAACGACUAUUAUGUGAAAGUCCCCUUAUGUGCUUGAAUGUCUCCAAAAUGGUUUCUUAAAGAAUGUUGGUCUAUUGAUGUUAUGUUGUAAAGGAAAUGUCCUUAUCUAAGGUAAUCUUGGGGAACACUUAAGUGUGCUUGAAGAGGUUGUAUGGGCGGUCACUUCUUGUCUCACUCAAGUGUGUCUUAAGGUUAUAUUAGGUAGAGGUCCUAUGGUAAUGAAAUGGCAUGUGUUCCUUUAAAGUUAAGCAUGGGUUGUAUAUGAAUAUAUGUUGAGUAUGUAUACGGUUGGCUAUGGUUUUAUAUGUGAACAUUGACUUAGUAUGUUAUAUUGUAAUGGUAAAUUUCCUUAUCUAUGGUAACCCUUAGGAAUACUUAGGUGUAUAUGAAGAGAUUGUAUGGGCGGUCACUUCAUGUUUCACUUAAGUGUGGCUUUGGGUAACUUGAGAUAGAGGUCAAGAAAUGAUGAAAAGGCUUACUUGUAUUUUCUUUCAUGAAGUUUUACCAAAUGGCAUAAAAGCAUGCUUCUCCAAUGAACGUCCCUUUUAGCAUGUUUUUGCAUGGCUUCCAUACUUAGUACUUAAUUGUGCUAACCCCUUUCUUUCCCUUUUUGGACUAAAGUGUAGGGAUUUGGAGAUGAUGACAUGUCAUGGCUUUGAUAGGUUUCUAAGUGUUGAAGAUGAAGACUUGGUGAGUCCUCAUAGAUUCGAGGACAAUACCCAAUAUGUUCUUUUAUGUCUUUUUAGUAUUGUUUAAGUUGUGUACGGGAUUAGUCCCGAAUUUUGUACUCUAAAGUAUUAGAUGGUUAUGAGACAUCAUGUAUAAAGUCUAGAAAGUCUUCCGCUUGCUAUUUUUUUUAUGCAAUGUUUUCUUGGUAAAGAAAGUUUUAAAUUCAUUAUGUUUUUAGUGUCUAUGCGAUGAAUGAAUGCUAAGAGGCUUGUAUUAAACCUCUUCGUGGUCGAGUACGCCGGUUACGACUAGAGGGUGCUCCCAGGUCGUGACAGAAACGACCCCAAAAAUAUGCUUCGAAAACACCUAUAAUUGUAAUUUCCAUAUAUCUCAAAAUCCGUGCAUGAUUUCAGAAAUUCGACUUCAUAUUCUUAUUCAUGGGGUCAAAUUGAGUGGGCAAUGGGUCUAACCCGAAUUUUAGAGCAACCGUAUCAAAAUUCGAAAAUCGCAAAAAAUGCGAUUUGGAGGGUCAACUUUAAAGGGGCAUAUCUCUUAGCACACAAGGAAAUGGAAGGGCCAGAACCUAUUUAAUUAAAGCUCUUUGAGUUAGCUUUCCAACGCACUUGGUUUCACCUCAUUCCGAGUUAGGAUGAGGGAGUUAUGACCAUUUUCGUAAAACUUGUCUGUGCAGAUUUGCAAUUUCCAGUGAGCUAUUUUUUUGAGGCUGGUUGGGGACGUUUUUUUAUAUAAAAAGGGGAUAUGUCCCAUACUUAGUCUUUUUUUUAAAACUUCAAAAACACUCUCUAAGCCCUCUCCGAAAUUCCACCAAGAUCCUCAACCAAAUUCAAGCAUCUCAAGCUCUAAUUCCGGAUUCAAGACUCAAUCUCAAGCUUCAAUUCUCCAUUCCAAUCUUCAUCAAGGAUUCUCCAAAGUUGAGGUAUGUGGGUUUGAUUGUGGAAACCUUCCUUUCCACAAGUCCAACUAUUUAUCCUCUAUUUCUACUUCAAGUUUAUANNNNNNNNNNNNNNNNNNNNNNNNNNNNNNNNNNNNNNNNNNNNNNNNNNNNNNNNNNNNNNNNNNNNNNNNNNNNNNNNNNNNNNNNNNNNNNNNNNNNNNNNNNNNNNNNNNNNNNNNNNNNNNNNNNNNNNNNNNNNNNNNNNNNNNNNNNNNNNNNNNNNNNNNNNNNNNNNNNNNNNNNNNNNNNNNNNNNNNNNNNNNNNNNNNNNNNNNNNNNNNNNNNNNNNNNNNNNNNNNNNNNNNNNNNNNNNNNNNNNNNNNNNNNNNNNNNNNNNNNNNNNNNNNNNNNNNNNNNNNNNNNNNNNNNNNNNNNNNNNNNNNNNNNNNNNNNNNNNNNNNNNNNNNNNNNNNNNNNNNNNNNNNNNNNNNNNNNNNNNNNNNNNNNNNNNNNNNNNNNNNNNNNNNNNNNNNNNNNNNNNNNNNNNNNNNNNNNNNNNNNNNNNNNNNNNNNNNNNNNNNNNNNNNNNNNNNNNNNNNNNNNNNNNNNNNNNNNNNNNNNNNNNNNNNNNNNNNNNNNNNNNNNNNNNNNNNNNNNNNNNNNNNNNNNNNNNNNNNNNNNNNNNNNNNNNNNNNNNNNNNNNNNNNNNNNNNNNNNNNNNNNNNNNNNNNNNNNNNNNNNNNNNNNNNNNNNNNNNNNNNNNNNNNNNNNNNNNNNNNNNNNNNNNNNNNNNNNNNNNNNNNNNNNNNNNNNNNNNNNNNNNNNNNNNNNNNNNNNNNNNNNNNNNNNNNNNNNNNNNNNNNNNNNNNNNNNNNNNNNNNNNNNNNNNNNNNNNNNNNNNNNNNNNNNNNNNNNNNNNNNNNNNNNNNNNNNNNNNNNNNNNNNNNCUCAUGUUUAGAUGUGGUGUUGGACAAGUUGUGUAUUAUGCUUGAGCUUGACUCAUCUAUGGUAUUUAUGUAUCAUUCCUUCUUUUUUUCUCUUGCUCCCUUAGUCCCGAUUUCCCCCUUGAUUAUGCUUAUCGCUUAUGGUCAUUUAAUUGCUUCCGCGACCAAGGAUGUGUAAUGAUACGCUAUGAGGCUUGUUUGGGGUUCCUUCGGGUUUCCCAUUCGCCGGUCACGUCUAGGCCCUAGGCUUGGGUCGUGACAGUAGGCCAACCCAAGAUCCCAAUACCCAAAUUAGGGCUUUUUCCACCAUUAACUCCAGAUCAAAACCUUUCCCUAAUGAUAAUUACCCAAGAAACUACGUUCUAUGAAUCGAAAUACGGAUUCGGGAGUCUACAAACAAUCAAUAUAAUACGGGAAUCAAUAAACAAUCACUAAUUACCCGGAUCACUAACAAUUCUAACAAACCCUAGAUCAACCCAUGAUUCUAAUUAUCCAAUUUACCCAUUAGAUUACGUUCUACGAAUCGAAAAACAGAUUCAGCGAGUUAAAAUCUUACUUUUAGCCUCAAGAAUGGUGGAAAACUGUAAAGAAUUACCUGGGUUCGUUCCUUAGCUCCAAAAAUAAAAAAGUGCACAAUAAAGACAUUUUGGGGUUUAUUUACGACCUUAAGUCGCGUCUAGCCCGCCACAACGGCCUUCACCCCGCUACAACGUCCCCGCCCUGGCGGUAGAAAUCCCGCCCCAGUGGCUUGCACGGAACCAGUGAGCUAUUUUAAUAAUUCCAUGACCCCCAUUUCACCACACACCUUUAACCAACGACGCUCAGAAAAUACCAUUCACACUAAGAUCGAUUUUGGGAGUUCUACUCACCCGAAUUCAAUUCCGUAAAGUCGUACGGAUUCCUUAACGACUUAUCUAACUACUCAUGUAAUCAAAAUCAUAAAUAAGUCACCUGGUUGUUACCAGAUUUCCCUACACCUUAAUGACUCUGAUUUCGUCCAAAUCUGAAUUAAGUUGAGAAAAUUCAAGUUACUACAAAAAAGUUUUAUGGCCGCAAUUCUUUCUCUAUUGGAUUUUUCCUAACGACAUAAUCAGAUCGUUACAAAAUGUGACUCCACCCGGGCAUUAGAAGAGGAGGCACCGCCUUUAUUUCCUUUCCUUUUGAAGGAAUUUUGAUACAACCUGACAAAAUGCUCAGGUGCCCGACAUUCAUUUUUCCAAUGACCUUUAUGGCCACAACGAUGACAGUGAUCACCCUUGCCUUUUGAAGGAUUAUUUUGAGAACCCAUAGUGUUCUCCCUUUUGUUAUGGCCACCACCUCGACGAUUAUUAUCUCGUCUUUUGCCUUUGCCACGCCCACACACAUUUUCAUGGCCCCGAAUUUUGUCUUAUUUCAGACUGGCCAUAGGCUUCAACCUCAUGUGCUUCUGAUAAUAGAGCACUUCUAGUGGGACGGAAUUCAUGAUUUCUCAUUAAAAGGUCAUUAUGCAGCUCAGCCAUCAGAAGGCAUGAGAUCAAUUCAGAAUAUUUUUGAAAACCCUUUUCAUGGUAUAGCUACUGUAAUAUCAUAUUAGAGGCAUGGAAAGUAGUUAGAGUAUUUUCUAACAUGUCCUAAUCUUUUAUAGUUUGUCCACAUAAUUUCAAUUGAGAAGUGAUUCUAAAUACAACAGAGUUAUACUCAAUUACGGUUUUAUAAUCUUGAAACUGUAAGUGCAUCCACUCAUAACAAGCCCUUGGCAAUACAGUUGCCUUGAGGUGGUCAUACCUCCCUUUCAAACCUAUCCACAAUUCAAGUGGAUCUUUUACCAUCAAGUACUCAACCUUCAGGCUUUCAUCAAGAUGAUGACGAAGGAAAAUCAUAGCCUUCGCUUUAUCCUGACUUGAUGCCUUAUUCCCUUCUAUUAUACUAUCACCAAGACCCUUAGGGGUAAAGUGAAUUUCAACAUCAAGUACCCAUGAAAAAUAGUUCUUUCCAGAAAUAUUGAGUGCCACAAAUUCAAGUUUUGACAAAUUCGACAUGAUGAUAACUAUCACAAAAUAAUUGAGUUAAUAUUAUGAUGUUGGUUUUUUUUAUAUAAUAAAUGUUAAAUUAAUGUUCAAAUAAUAAAGUAUAAUAUGAUUAUAAAAUAUAUUAUAUGUUAUAUGAUGCACAUUGAAUGUCUCAAAAGCAUGUAAACUCAUGAAGUAUUGAAAAAAUAAAUUUAAUAUGUAAUUUUAAUUGUUCUACAAUAUUUAUUAUUAGUCUCAAUAGAUAUUAACGCCAAUUUUUUUGUAAGAUCUUCAAGUCAUAUUUAAUACAAUAAUAUUCUUCUUUAUGACACACCAAUAUACUUAUCAUAAUGUAUGAAAAUACUUACGAGUUAUUUUAACUAGCAUGCUAUCAUAUUACUUAGUAAUUAAUUUAGAGUUAUAAGUUAGUAGCAUAUAAAUAGCAUAAUAAUAUAAACCUGAAACGUAUUGAUUAUUAUGCCUAGUAAAGUACCAUAAUAAUAGCUAAAGUAAGUUAUGUAUGUAGUAAUUAAAUUACAAUUCAAAGACUCAUGUAAGUCCUAUUUGAGAUGUUAUAAACAUAUAAAUGUAUACCUGACUCAGAAAGAAAAUUGAUUAACUUUUAGGAAAAAAAGAUAAUUUCGAAUUAAGUAGGUCUUAAUUGGUUAAAGACUCGUGCUGAUAACGUGUUGUGAAACUUUAGCAAUAUAAAAUAAUAUAAGACAAUAAAUAUAUGAACAAGAUAUAUGGGAGAGAAUGCUUUCUUAUUUCUUUCUUCUGUACUUUUCUAUUGUAAUCUUUUAUAAAAUAAUCAUCGCCUAUUUAUAGUACAAAAAUGUCUCUUCAAAGUUACAUGAAUUAAAUAGUGUUCAUUUAUUUCGUACAUGAACUUCAAAGAGAGUUUCUAAUGACAUCCACAUUAAUGCAUUUAUAACAAAACUUACUAUAUUCAAAUGGCAGAAUGACCUGGGAAACCCUUAUACUUGCCUUGGAUUGUCACCUAGACCCUUCUACUCACGAUUUUGCCAACUGAACACUUAAACUCAAUAAAAUUUGAUAUUUAAUUUUAAACCCUUUUCUAGUUUGAUAAAUGUGCGUGUAAUACAAACAUCUACACAUGAAAUUUCACGUCAUUUUUUAAUGACACACAUCUAUGUACGGAGUUCCACGUCAUUUUUUAAUGACACAUAAGAUAUAAAAUAUUAAAAAAUUAAUUAAAUCAAAUAUCCUUUCUCUCUUCUCUUCUCUUCUUCACACCCCCCAAGGUCCAACUCAUGUUCCUCCCUCUCUUUCUUCUUCAUCAGAUUUCUCCCUAGUCCCUCCCACUCCCUUUUCGCUUCUCCACCCCCUCUUUUCUUCCUUCCUCUUCAGAUUCCCUCUCCCUUCUCAUCUCUUCUUCAGAUCUAUUUCUAUGUUAUUCCUUUUUUUUCUCCACUCAAUUCGUAGAUAUAAGCAAAUUGAUAAAGUUAACAAAGAGAAAAAAAAUAAUUAUAACUAAGAAAAGCAUAAAAACAACUAAAGAUUUCACUGAUUUGAUGAAUUGAGAAGCAUAUAAAAAAGAAUUUUAUGGUGUUCAUAAUAUUCCCAGUAAUAAAGAAAGGGGCGAGAAUUUUUAGUGUUUUUCUAGUUCCUUGACUUUUGGGUUUUUUCAAUUUGAUGCUAAUAAUGUGUCAAAGAAAUUGAUUGUAUUGAAAGUUAGGAUUUUGUAUGAACUGAAUUUUGUGGAGUUAUUGCUUUUUGAAGGUGGUAAAAAUGGCAGAGAAGAAGAAGGGGUGAGUGGGGUUAAGAAAGGAAGGUAGGGGUGGGCAAGAAGAAAGAGGUGUCUAAUGGAGUAUUUUUUUUUUGUUUUCUUAUUUAUUUAUUUAUUUUAAUUAUUUUUAAUAAAAAUUGUAUGUUUACGCACAUUAUAUGCAUGAAAUUAACGCGUUUUUCCAACUCAACCAACAAGUUGCCACAUAAGAGCAGUCAACGGGGUUUAAAAUAGUAUGAGUUAACAAGUACAAGUGCUUGGAUGAAACUUGAUGAAGUACGAGGAUCCAGGUUACAAUUUGAGCCAAGUAUAAGAGUCUCUCAGAUCAUUCCGCCUAUUCAAAUUCAUGUGCCGAUAAGAAGUAACCAAAACAAUAAACAUCAUUUCAAGUAUAGAAAUAAGAUGCAAGACAAUAAUAAUUUUUUUUUGAAUAAGUAUAAAAUAUCCGUAAAAUCAACUACCAUAUAAAAAAGUGAAUUAUUCUCUUUAAGAAUUUUUUUUACCUAAUUACAAAAUAAUAGAGAAAAAGCAAUACCGAAAAGUCUAAUAAUUAUGAAUAAUGAUUCCUUGCAUAAUUCAUACCUUUUACAAUGAAUAAUAUUUCGAACUAUGCUGCAAGAAAAUAUAGCUAUUAGAAACAACUAUAUAAUAUAUUACUUAAGACUUUAAUUAACAAUAUAUCCACAUACUUCUAUUUAGUUACAAACGUAAUUUUGAAAUUACAGAUGUAACAGAAUAAUUAAUUUUCGAAUUUAAGUUAAUUAUUUAUUUUUUAUUUUAUUUUCUCCUACUUUGGGGAUUACAUAUGUGCCUAAUUUUUGGAGAUGAUAAUUAUAAUAUUAAAUUUUGUCAGUUUUUAUCUCUCCCAUUAAUGUUUCUAAUACACGGAUUACUGUGAUUCUCUUCUCUCCUCUUCUGGAUUACUGUGCUUAUCAUAUCAUAUUUUAUUUUUUUCCUUUUUCACGCAAUCCAUGUAAAGUAAAACUUUUUAUGUUUCCAACAAUUUGCUCUUUAGUUAUUCCCUAUGUAGUUUAUAUUUUCUAGAAAUUACACCCUUCUCUUUUCCUUCUGUCCAUCUUCAUUUCUUUCACCAUUAACCCAUCUCUUCACUAUUGUUAAAGUUUCGCUUUAGUUCAUCUUCAAUUUUAUAUUUUCAUAUUUUGAUUUUGAUGGAUAAGAAGCCGCGAAAAAUUUCUAGGCUUUAAGAAAUCAGUUAUAGUUGUUGAUAGUCUACAUAUUAUAUGUUCAAAACAUUCUUUUGAGUUGAAUACGUUCACGCAAUCGCUUGCCAACGAAGGUAUAAGAGAAGAAAACAAAAUCAUCAAAGGAAACAAUGAAUGUAUUGUCCUUAGUUCUUCCUUAACUAACAAGGUUCAGCAAAAAACAGAUCCAAUUAUUAAUCCAAGUAGGAAGGAUAAGGAGAAGGUGAUUGAAUCUUCGGUUUCGAAAAACUAUCCUCAUGAUAGUGAUUUCGAGGAUGAAAUUCUCAUUGCCAAAAGAUUAAGAUUAAAUAUUGAUUCUAAAUCAUCUGGGAAAUUGUGUCAAAAUAUUGUGUUUCAUUUUAUAGUCUUAACUACUUUUUUUUAUUAAUUUUAUUGUGUUAAUUACAUCGUGUGAGGUUGGUAUUUAAUACCAACAUUUCAAUUUUUUGGUUAAUUAGUUCUUUUAAGUUAAGUAGUUGUCUUUAGAUUCAAUGUGUGAGGUUGGUAUGUAAUAGCAACAUUUCAACCACUAUAUACCAUCAUUAUUAUGAAUAUUUUUUAUUAUUACACCACCAUUUUUUUUAUGUGAUUAUUACACCAAUAUUACAUAAUUAUGAUUUUUGUAUUUAAUUAAAUGAAGAGUACAUUGAAUUAUUUUUGUAUAUAUGUAUCAAAAUGUUUUGUUUCAUUGUGGUGUCAAACUACCCUUUUAAUAUAAAUUUGGUGGUUUACAAAUUUAUUGUGAGAGGUUGAUAUAUAAUACCAACAUUCAACCAUAAUAUAUAGCACCAAUUAUUAUGAAUUUUGUAUUACAUUUUCAUCAAGAAAUCAACAAUGUAUUAAUAUUAAAUGCACUCACCAACAUUACAAUGAUAAUUACACCGAUAUUAUGAAUUAGCCAAUCAAUUUGAAUAUUACACCAAUAUUAUAAAAAUCACAAAUUUUACAAUUUUUUCUUAACAAUAUAUAUUAGUCUUUACAGUUUCAUUUACUUAUAUAUAUAAAGGUGAAAAUGCUAAUCAUAUUUGGUAUACAAAAUGGUUAACAACUAAUUUAGUUUUUUAGUAUGAAAUAUACCAACACAAUCUAAUAAGUAAUAUAACCAAUUUGUUUAUUAUUUCUUCUCUAAGCUCAUGGUUCUGAUCACAAUAUGGUGUUUACAAAAGUCAUAUAUGGUGUUUACAAAAGACUAAAAAUCUAAUAAUUACUUCAAUACAUGUGCCAUUAAUACAUCAAUUACACCAACAAAAUAUACCAAAAAAUUAAAGAAUGUUAGUGUUUAUUAAAAACCUAAUACACAAUAUUGAUUACAAUAUAUCAUUCACAUCAAAUACACUAUCAAUUAAACCUAAUCAUUUACCAAAAAACAUUCACGGAAUAUGGCCUUAUUACAUGACUCAAAAUAGACCAUCAAUUUCACCAAAUAAUCUACCAAAAUACAGUCACUACAACAAUAUCAUAAUCAACUUAAAAACCCUCACAAUUACACCAAACAGACACAAAAAAAACAAUCACAAAUUGACAGAUUAAUAAUAAGUUCAUAUACACAAUCAAUUACACCACAUUAUCUACCCUAUUUCAAUUCAGCAAAAAGAUAUUUUUAAACGGCUUAAAUUACACCGUCAUAUACAAUCAUACAAUUAUAAUAUGGUCGGAUUCCGAAUUAAAUUUCAAGAAUUACUGUAACAAAAAAACAUAGACCAACCAAAUCGUUUAUAAGAUAACGAUCUCGUAAAUAAAAACACCAAAUAUGUUACAUACAUUAAUUAAAAAGAAUCACCAUUAUGUUAUAUACAUGACGUGUCCCAUCGUCCGUUGUGUUGAAGUAGAAUUGAAAUACUGUUGAUAUCCAUAAUUGAAUAAUCUUUCAGAAUAUGAAAGUAGAAAGGUUUAUUUCGGUUUUAAAACCUUUUUUUUAUGGGAGAGAACAUAUAAUCAAUUUGAGUAAAUUGUGGAAGGUGGAGAAAAUUAGGGAUUGGGAGAAAAUCAUGGGUCAUUAUUAAUACGCUUCAUUUUUUAUAUUUUUUUAUGAUAAAUUUCUUAUAUUUUAAAAAAACUAUUGUUAUAUAGGUGAAAAAUAAAACUAUUGUUAUAUAGUGGUUAUUAAGACUCUAUAUUUUAUACUUAAGUGUUUUGCCCCUAUAAUAUAUCAUUGAUACAAUAAACAAACAACUAAAAAAUUACUUAGACAUAAGCUUAUAUAAAAUAUGCGUUCAGAGGAAUAUACGAGAAAUGCAUGAAAUAAAGAGGGUCAAAGCAAGGGUACAAAAAUAUUAAUCCUUUAUAGCAGUUUUAAAAAUAAUGGAGAAGAAAAGAGACUUUGAGUACUCUACCAAUCACAUUUUUUUCUUAUUACAUAGAGUUUAGAAUGACUUUCUAUAUAACUUAUCAUCAAUGACAAAAUAAAUAAGGGAUAAGAGUCUGAAAAAUACCCCAAUUUUGGUCGGAUUUGCUGUUGUGAUACUAAACUUUCAUGAGGACUUAUUACCUCCCUAGAUUAUUUAAUACCGUAUUUUAAACAUAUAUAUUUGCCCACGUGGACAUAGAAAAUAAUGCAAAAUUAUAAAUAGUAAUGUGUCCACGUGGGGCACAUAUAUACCUUUAAAAUACACUAUUAAAUAGUUCGAAGGGGUAAAAAAUACGGUAUUAAAUAGUCUAGGGAGGUAAUAGGUCCUUAUGAAAGUUUAGUAUCGCAACAACAAAUCUGACCUAAGUUGGGAUAUUUUUCGGACCCUUAUCCCUACUAUAAGUGGUUACAAAUUCCUCAAUUGCAAGAAUUAAUGUUUGCCCACUUAAUGCAAUAACCAAUAAAUAUUUUUCUUACGUGCAUAUAAUAUAACCAAGAGAAUAUUAAUAAAUAAUAGGUGCAUGAAUUUAUUAAAAUGUAUAUUUAAAUUUUUCACAAAAAUAUUAUUUGAAUAUGGUUUUAUCUAAAGAAUGAAAUGAUCAAUCAUUUCUUGAUAGAUUAUUUCGUAAUUCAAAUUUAAACUGAACAAAAAAA
rnacentral:lncRNA from 1 species